rnacentral:lncRNA from 1 species
CUGGGCUCCUACCAGGGCGUGGCCUUAGGUUAUAGGGGUGGUAGGAGGGUUGGCGAGGCUAGGGGCCCGGCCGACGACGCUGGGGCGCCGUGAUCGCGCGAGGGAGAGGAGCCGCUGCGGCGGCUAGGGUUUAGGGUUUCCCGGCAGAAGCCGAGCAAAUAAGUUUGCUACUUCUCAAUCUCAAAAUAGGUCUUUACAUGAGUAUAUGUAAUCUCAUAGCCGCUAAUAAAAAUACGAUAAGUGGGCCAAGCCCCUAACUGCUAUUGGGCCUAACUGGCCGUAGCCCGCCAGCGGUUGUAAUGCGCGCCGGUCAUAACAUCUCUCCCCGCCUGUGCAAACAGCUCGUCCUCGAGCUGGAAGUCUGGAAAAUGCUGGUGAAACUCCUCGAGCUGCUCCCAAGUGGCGUCCUCCUCCGGAAGGCCUUGCCACCGAAUCAAAAGGCGCCAAACACCGCGGCUCAGCUGGGCCUUCAACACCUUCUCUAGACCCGGAAGGAGACGGCCGUUGGCGGCUGAUGGAAGAGUCGGCGAAGUCGCCGGCGGGUCACCGCGGAAAGGCUUCAACAGCCCCACAUGAAAGACGUCAUGGAUGCGGGCUCCCGGCGGUAACUGGAGCCGGUAGGCGACGCUGCCGAUGCGCUCCAACACCUGGAACGGCCCGACGUAACGUGGCCCGAGCUUGCGCUUGGCCCGCGGGUCAAGCGACUGCGUGGUGCGGUGGAGGAGCCGUAGCCACACCCAAUCGCCCACCUCAAACUCCGCCUCGCGGUGAUGGGCGUCAUAGUAUUUCUUGGACAGCUGCUGGGCUUGGAGAAGACGCUGGCGCACCUCCGCAAGGAUCUCAUCCCUGCUGCAGAGAAGCUCGCCUGCCGCCUCGGUCUUUGCCGCCCCCGUUUGGAAUGGAAGAAUGGGCGGUGGAGGACGACCGUAGACCACCUCAAACGGAGUGGCACGCAGGGCGGAGUGGUAGGAGGUGUUGUAGCAGUACGCCGCCCAAGCGAGCCAGUCCACCCAGGCACGUGGGCGAUCACCUGUAACACAGUGUAAGUACAUAGCAAUCACCUUGUUAACCACCUUCGACUGGCCGUCGGUCUGAGGAUGGAAAGCCGUGCUCAGCCGCAACUUGACGCCCGCCAUCUUGAAAAGAUCACGCCAGACAUGGCCGGUAAACACCGGGUCGCUGUCGCUGACGAUCGACGAAGGAAACCCGUGGAGACGGACUAUUCCGUCGAAGAAGGCGCGCGCGACGAUGGUGGCGGUGUAGGGGUGGCCGAGUGCGAUGAAGUGUGCGUACUUGGAGAAGCGGUCCACCACCAUGAGGAUGACGGACUUGCCACCCACCUUGGGAAGACCCUCGAUGAAAUCCAUGAAGAUAUCAAUCCAAACCUGCGAGGGGACCUGAAGGGGCUGCAGCAAUUCCACCGGCUGCAGCAUUUCAGUCUUAUUGCGUUGACAAGUCACGCAAGACCGUACCCAAUCCUGCACCAGCGCGCGAUCGCCGGGGAUGAAGUCGGCGCGAAGGUGGUGAAGCGUCUUCUGCACCCCCUCGUGGCCGGCCGAGUGUGCGAGGAGCAGGCACUGGUGGCGGAGGUCGCCGUGGUUCGGCACAAAGAGGCGCCGCCCGUGGAGGAGCAAGGCGCCCUCCACGCGCCACGGCUCAGGCAGCGCGCCCACCUGGAGCUGAUGUCGUAACAGUUGUGCGUCCGCCGCGGUCGCUGUGGCGCGGCGGAUUUCGUCGAUGAGGGCGAACGAGGGUCCCGAGCGGAUGCAGAGUGCAACUCCGAAAGGAUCGAAUGGUUGACUAGAGGGGGGGGGGGUUGAAUAGUCAACUACCAACUUUUAGCUCUUCUUAACAAAUUAGGGUUAGCAACAAAAGGUUCUCUGGAUGAACAACUAAGUGAGCAACCUAUAUGAUGCUAACAACAACAAAACUAAAGCAAGCAAGGAAUACACCACAACAAUAAUAAGUACAAAGUAAAGGUAAGAGAUAACCACAAGUGGAACCGGUGGUGUCGAGGAUGUGUUACCGAAGUUCCUUCCCUUUGACAGGAAGUACGUCUCCGUUGAAGCGGUGUGAGGCACAAUGCUCCCUAAGAAGCCACUAGGGCCACCGUAUUCUCCUCACGCCCUCACACAAUGCGAGAUGCCGUAAUUCCACUAGUGGUGCCCUUGAAGGCGGCGACCGGACCUUUACAAACAAGGUUGGGGCAAUCUCCACACAAAGCUUGGAGGCUCGCAACAAGACCGCGAAGCUUCACCACAAUGGAAUGUGGCUCCGAGGUGACCUCAACCGUCUAGGGUGCUCAAACACCCAAGAGUAACAAGAUCCGCAAGGGAUUAGUGGGGGGAAUCAAAUAUCUCUUGGUGGAAGUGUAGAUCAGGGCCUUCUCAACCAAUCCGUAGGAAAUCAACAAGUUUGAUUGGCUAGGGAGAGAGAUCGGGUGGAAAUGAGCUUUGGAGCAACAAUGGAGCUUAGGGAGGUAAGAGGUAACCUUCUUGGGGAAGAAGACCCCUUUAUAUAAUGGGGGAAAGAAUCCAACCGUUACCCCCACUCACAGCCCGAGCAGAGCGGUACUACCACUGCUAGGAGCGGUACUACCGCACGGUAGGUUCACCAACCACGGUAGUAAAAAAUUACUACCGUGCCUACCAUCGCAGAGGAUGUGGUUGCGCAAAAAGUCUGAGGAAGCGUUAGUAAAAAACUACUACCGCUGGUCCUUUUGCACAGACAGGGAGAAACAAGCUGGAGCUCCAUUGAAGCGAGGGAAAGGUGUGCAAUAGAAUUGUGUACGUGUUGAUUCCACCCUAACCUUUCCGAAGCGGACCCCCUCUUAAUAGUACGGCUUUCCUAUGACUCAAAUCCACCAAAGAGAAACGUAGAAAGCAACCGUCUUUGAAAGACUCCGAGGGGCACCGAAUCGUCUUGUGCCUAGUCAUGAAUUAUCUGAAAUGCUCAAUGCACAUGAUUAGUCCGCACAAGCAUUGUCAUCAAUCACCAAAACCACUUAGGGAGAAAUAUGCCCUAACAAUCUCCCCCUUUUUGCUGGAUUGAUGACAAUACAGGAUUUGCACUAAAGGAUAUAAAAAUAACAUAUACAAACCCAAUAUCUAUAAACUAGAGGCAGGCUCCCCCCUAGAUUUUAUAGGCGAAGCAAUCCUUGCAACAAACUGAUUAAACACUAAGCAUGGAAGCAAGGCAUAACAUGUGAGCAUGAAGAUAAGGGCACAUAAUAAUUAGACUCACAAGCUAGUACUCCCUCUGUAAACUAAUAUAAGAGCNNNNNNNNNNNNNNNNNNNNNNNNNNNNNNNNNNNNNNNNNNNNNNNNNNNNNNNNNNNNNNNNNNNNNNNNNNNNNNNNNNNNNNNNNNNNNNNNNNNNNNNNNNNNNNNNNNNNNNNNNNNNNNNNNNNNNNNNNNNNNNNNNNNNNNNNNNNNNNNNNNNNNNNNNNNNNNNNNNNNNNNNNNNNNNNNNNNNNNNNNNNNNNNNNNNNNNNNNNNNNNNNNNNNNNNNNNNNNNNNNNNNNNNNNNNNNNNNNNNNNNNNNNNNNNNNNNNNNNNNGCUCUUAUAUUAGUUUACGGAGGGAGUAACAUACUGGAUAAUAAUGAGACAAUAAAGAUAUAGGAGUUAUAGCAUAUGUCUCAUACCAUAUGAUAGAGUACGACGUCUCCUGGUCUCACACGCAAAACAAAACCAAUCAAAGUAGCAACGAAAGUUCAACGAACAAAGCAACACAGAGAACGAAGAAAUUCACAAAUCCUACACUCUCUCCCCCUUUGGCAUCGGGACACCAAAAAGAUAGAGAGGAGACCUAAGACACAUGUGGUAGCUCGAAAUGCAUAGGAAUCAGCCAUCGGACUCCUCAUUAGACUCCUCAUCAGACUCAGCCCACUGAAGAUUCUUCUUUUCCAUCCAAGCAGCUUCAGGAGUAAUGUCUUGCUCAGACCCACUGGAGAUGUGCACGUCGAGCUUCCUCAGAAUCAGCUUGUCGCGCUGACGGCUCUCCUUCUGAGCAACAUUAGUCAUAUACUGCCCCUUUGCCUGCAUGUAAAACAAAGUCUUCAUCCGGUCCUGGAGUUUCUUGGCCCAAGAUGGCUCGGCAGAGGAAGGCACAUUUGUCUCUGGAAUGCCCUUAUCCUCAGCCGCAUCCUCAUCCUCAUUAGUAUCCAUGGUGGCAGCAGCAGGUGUAGUGGUAGUGUUGGCCCACUUGUUCUUUUGACGCAGCUUAAUAGGCUCAUGGUAGAUCCAGCCGGGAGCAUGAAACUAUAUGUCUGGAAAGGCCGCCGACCACUUCUCCCGUAUCAAGUAAAACAAAUAAGGUCCAUAGAUGAGAACCUUACGGUGAAAUACUGCCGACUGAAGCUCACUCCACAUGGCGUGAGACACAUCAAGCGGUCCAGGAGCACGAGGCCGCCCUUUCUGACACAUCAAAAGCAUAUCCACCAGAUAUGAAUGCACCUGGUCCUUGUUGCCAAUGCGCGGAAAAAGAGUGUUGCGAAAGAUUCGGUGCAUGACAUCAAGGAAUGGGUUCAGCACAUGAGAGAUCUCACCAGAUGGGGACACCUUCUCAAUAAAGUAGGGCAACAACUUUUCCUUAGGUGUAGUAGAUGGCUUUGCGUGUGGGCGCAAACCAACUGGGUUCUCAAGCCCCUCAUCAUGAAUGUUUAGAAGAUCCAUAAACUCCUUCCAAGUAGCAGACAACCUCUCCCCAUUGGUCAUCCAAGUCAUAGUGUGCUCCGCAUCAGUGUGGAAGUGGACUGUAACAAAGAACCGAGCCACAAUCUCAGGAUCAAAGUCAAGGUGAAACGAGAUGAGCUCCUCAAUCCCAAGCUGUUCCACCAUGUCCAGAGGUUCACCAAAGUACGUCGGGUCCUUCUUGAGAUGAUCCAUGUCAAUCCACUGAACCGGUACAUAGAUAUUCUUCUUGGUCUUGAUCACAUCUUCAUAAAUGAGAGCCUGCUGCUUGGACCAGAACAGUUCACAUCCCUAGAGAUGAACCCUAUCGAUGACAUAGGGGUUGCGCUUCCGGCAAAUCAGAAACUCAGCUUGUGGCAUAGCAUCCCAACUGACAGUGUUCUCCUUGUUCUUGUGAGCGGGCCGCUUGAAAUUGCGCUUCGGAGCCUGGGAUCCCUCGAGUGCCUCUGGAUUGCGAAGGCGCUUGGAACCGGUAUCCUGAGAAGGGUUCGAGCGCCUGGAGCUAGAACUGGAGCCACCACCUAUGACACACAACGCAAGCACAAGAAAACGACAAAAGAAGUCAAGGCAAAGACCAAAGCAAACCAGAAAGCCCCAGAGAAAUGAGAACUAGGAGGACAGAACAUGUGAAUUCAGGGAACAACGGUAGUACCACAGUGCAAGCGGUAGUAAAAGUUUAGUACCACGCUGACCACGGUAGUACCGCUCCUGGGAGCGGUAGUACCGUAGGGCAGGCGGUAGUAAAAUUUUACUAUCGCGCCCACUGCGGUAGUACCGCUCCAGGAGGAGCGGUAGUACCGCACGGGCGAACACUGCCAGAUCUGACAUACCAAACUUCAGAUCCGGUACUACCGGAGAUCAAAACUCACAUGUUAUAUCCUACUAAGUAAAAUUUCUACCACAGAAGCACUCUCCAACCAUCCAUUCAUGAAAAGAUUGUGCCAUAAAACGAUGAAACCUAACUCAUAUGUCCCCAAGCCUAGAUUAAACAAAAGCGAGAAAAAGAGAAGAGAACUAGGGGUGUAGUGAACACCAGCGCGCAUAUAGGAAGCAUCAACACCAAUAUGCUUGGUGAGCUCAUGCUUCACAGGAUCGCGCGCAAUGCUAAUAGCACCUGUACUAUCAGAUAAGAGUAGAGUCGGUGUAGUGACAGAAACACCAAAAUCCUGAAGUAACCACCGUAACCAAGUCACCUUUGCCGUCAAAAGAGCAAUUGCUCGCAGCUCAGCCUCUGCACUCGAACGGGAAACUGCAAUCUGUUUCUUCGUCUUCCAGGCAAUGAGAGAACCACCAAGAAAAACACAGUAAGCAAAAAGUGAACGGCGAUCUGAAGGAUCACUAGCCCACGUAGCAUCCGAAUAAGCCUGAAGCUGUAAAGAACUGGAGCGAGGAAAGAAUAGACGGUGAGAGAUCGUGCCCCGAAGAUAGUGAACCGAUGUGGGAGCGGAGACGAACUGACUCAGAAUAUGAACCGGAUAAGAGAUAUCCGGACGAGUGACAGCUAGAUAGACAAGACUGCCAACAAGAUGACGAUAACGCGUCGGGUCAGACAGGGGAUUACCAUCAGUAGCACGGAGGUGAACAUUGAGCUCCAUAGGAGUCUCAACAAUGCGCUCGUUAGUAAGAGCAGCACGAGCAAGAAUAUCCUGGAUAUACUUUUCUUGGGAUAUAAAAAAGCCAUCAGAGGUAGAAGAGACUUCAAUCCCAAGAAAGUAGCGAAGAGGUCCAAGAUCAGACAUAAGAAACUGCUCACUAAGACGGGCCUUUACAAAGACAAUAUACUCGGGGUCAUCCCCAGUGAUGAUCAUGUCAUCAACAUAGAGAAGAAGAAGAGUCCGACCACGAGGAGAAAGGUGAAUAAACAAUGCUGGAUCAUGAGCACUCGCUGAAAAACCAGCGGCAGUCACCACAGAGGCAAAACGCUCAAACCAGGCGCGAGGGGCUUGCUUAAGGCCAUAGAGAGAACGACGAAGACGACAUACCAUGCCAUCAGGAACAAAAUACCCAGGUGGUGGCUGCAUGUACACCUCCUCACGCAGCUCACCAUUAAGAAAGGCAUUCUUAACAUCAAGCUGAGAUAUAGACCAGUGGCGUGCAGAGGCCACAACAAGAAGUGUACGAACAAUGGUCAUAUGGGCCACAGGAGCAAAAGUCUCGUCAUAAUCACGACCAUGCUCCUGCUGAAAACCACGAGCCACAAGACGAGCUUUGUUACUGCUCAAGAGAACCAUCAGAGCGAGUCUUAACCUUGUAGACCCACUUACAAGUGAUGGGACGGACUCCGGGAGGAAGUGAAACAAGAUUCCACGUACCAGUGCGUUCAAGAGCAGCAAUCUCCUUUGCCAUCGCAAACUGCCAUUCAGGAUGAACAAUAGCCUGAUGAUAGGAAGUCGGCUCAAGAACAGCAGCACCAACGGUGGGAAAUCCAAGGCGAUCAACAGGCGGACGAGGGCGAGAACGCAAGGCAUAGGGAGGCUGAGAUGAGGAUGUCGACACAUCCACAGAGGCAUCCACAUGACGUGAACGACGAGUGUAACACUGAGGAAAAGAUGGAACAAUGCAAGGGGGAAUCGCCAAGGUAGAAUCGAGGGGUGAAGACGUAGAAGUCACCGGAGAUGAAGGUGCAGAAUCCGGUGACAUGCCAGGAGAGGAAACCGUGGAAGAUGGUGGUAGCAAAUCGACAAGAGGUGGAGAAGCAGAAGGAGCGGAACGAAUAGGCAAAGGCUCGAUGGGGGUGAGAGGUGUAUCAGGAAAAGUGAGGAAAGAGAUAUCCUCCACUGAAAAGGUCGAGGAAGAUGGGCGUGGGUAGAAGGGACGAGACUCGCCAAAAGUCACAUCCCGAGAGAUACGCAUCCGACGAUCGAUAUGAUCCCAACAACGAUAGCCCUUAUGCUCAUCACUGUAGCCUAAGAAGACACACUCAACAGAUUGAGCGGUCAGUUUGGUGCGUUCGCGAGGGGCAAGAAGAACAUAGCAAACACAACCAAACAGGCGAAGUAUCGAAUAAUCGGGAGAACGAUCAAAGAGACGCUCAAAAGGAACACCACCCUGUAGAGCAGCAGAAGGUUGUAGAUUGAUGAGAUAGGUGGAGGUGGAGAUGGCCUCAGCCCAGAAAUGAGGCGGGAGAGAGGCAGCAAUCAUCAUCGCACGAGCCGUCUCAAGAAGGUGACGAUGCUUGCGCUCAGCCACACCAUUCUGAGCAUGAGCACCAGGACAAGAGAACUGAGCAAGUGUACCCUGCUCAGCGAGAAAUCCACGCAACAUCUUGGAGAUAUACUUUCCAGCAGAGUCAGCACGGAACACACGAAUAGGCGUAGAGAACUGAGUGUGAACCAUGGCAGCAAAACGCUUAUAGAUAGAUAAUACCUCACUACGAGAUGACAUAAAAUAGAUCCACGUGUAUCGAGAGAAAUCAUCUAUAAAGAUAAUAUAGUAGCGAUGGCCUCCCUUCGAGGAAAAGGGAGUUGGACCCCAAACAUCGGAGUGAACAAGGUCAAAAGGACGCUGAGACACAGUCUCGCUAUGAGGAUAACGUAACUGAACUUGUUUACCAAGCCGGCAGCCCUGACAGUCUAAAGACACACCACCGGAGACGGAUCCAAGAAGACCACGUCGAACUAAGGAUGAGAGACGAGAGCCACAUAAAUGACCCAGACGAUGAUGCCACUCUUGAAAAAAGCUGGUAGACAAGGCAACAGAGGAGGAGAGACUGGCUGCGGUGGCAACGGAUGGAAGGUGAAGCCAGUCAAGCUCCCAGAGACCCUGAGAGUCAUGGCGCCGGGGCCAGCACCGAGAAGAGCACCAGUGUGACGGUCCAGAACUGAACAUGAGUCAAAGUCAAGGAUUACCCGACAAUCAGAGUCAACAAUCUGGCCACCAGAAAGGAGCUGCAUGGUAAGCCGAGGAACAUGAGCAACAUCGGGAACAUGAAAAGAUGAAGUGCUAAGAGUGCCUCGGCCAGUAACCGGGAGAGAAGUACCAUCAGCAGUAAGAACAUGAACAUGAGAAUCAAGAGGUCGAGUAGAUGACAGAGUGGAUGAAUCAGGAGUCAUAUGAAAAGAUGCUCCAGUAUCAAGAACCCACGGAGAUGUACCUGCGUGUGUAGAAGGUGGUCUCACAAUGCCAGAAGAGCUAGCAGACAUUGAAAUCGUCCAAUCUCCUGCUUAGUCAGGGGCGCAACUAAAGAUGUCGGUGUAGACACACUCGACAACGGAGAGUCGAAGGCAAGCAGCAGGGCGCGAAGUCGCGCAAUCUCGUCCUCGGUGAAGUACACAGCUGAAGUAGGCGACGUAAUGGCAUGAGGAGAGAAGCGACCACCACCACCUGUGGAAGCCGCUAAAUAUGGCGGUGUAGCAUGUCCAGUAUCGUUUGCAAAGACCGGUGUAGAAGAUGAGGCCGUGUGCAGACAAGCACCAAGCGACAAGGGAAGACGCGUGGACGAAGAGCAGUCCAUGGAGGCAUAGGCACCAGGAUAACCGGUGAAAGUCGCAAGAGGUGUCGGGGAAGAGCGACAUGCACCGAUGAAAGUCGCGGGAGGAGUCGGUGUAGAGUGACAAUCACCAUAUGUAGAGCUCGCAGGAGCAAUAGAAGAACUACCAGCACAGCCGUCAGGAGUCACGGGAAGCAAGGGACUGCAACGUUGCGUGCUGGUUAGACCUUUUUUUUUGGAACUCAAUCAACAAACCGCGUCUGCAUCUGACAGCAGGAUUGGAGCCGACUCGAUCUGGCGAGAUGGGGCGUCAGAUCUGGCGAGAUGGGAUGGAGCCGCCUCGAUCUGGCCACGAUCCAGAAGAUGGGAUGGGAUCGAGUCACCUCGAGCUGCGUCGCUGAUGCGAGGAUGCAGAACCGGUGAAGUCGAUCUGGCCAGAUGCGAGCCGCCUCGUGCCUGGGGUGGGAUGGGGCGGCGCCUCGAUCUGGAACCGCCGCGAGAUGGAGCGGGGACGAGGCAGGGGCUGGAUCCGGCGGCUUGGGCGGCCGGAGGCAGCGGGAGGCGAUGAGAUCCGGCGGCUGUAGCGGCUCGAUCCGGCAGCUGCUGUAGAACGAGAAGCAACCGUAGGAGGAGACCGAGAGGUAGCAGCGAGAUCCGGCAGCAGCAGACAGACGACGGCUGCGUGGAGAUUGGAUCGGAGCACGAGUUGCGCGUGCGGAGAGAAAAACCUAAUGCUCUAAUACCAUGUUAGGAAUAAGCAACUUGUAUUCCCAUGAGGCCAUAGGCCGAUAUAUAUACAUGUACAGGUGGUGGACUAUAUGCAAGAAACCCCUUAUAUAUUGGGAUAAAUACAAAAGGGUACAUGACUUAUAUUAUAACUCUAACACCGCUAUCAUUACGGUAGUAAAAAUUUAUUGCCGUACCUGAAGCGGUAGUACCGUGCCCUCUUCAGAAAAAGACGGGUUGAUCUUUGCAAGAACAAGAGAAAAACACAUGAUAACCCAAGCAAAGGUAAGUAAAGCGAAACAAGCAAGAAAAAACGAACACCAAACCGAAUCUUCUGACGAAGAGAGGGGCGGUGGCCGGAGCCACCAAUGUUUGAGACAAUUGAUAUGACACCGCGAAGAAUUAUUCUUGGGUUCAUGACCAAAGCUCGUCUUUGAAGCACAAGUGCAUCAACAAUGGCUAAUGUGAAAGACGUGAUCAAUUUAUGCAUAAUGGGGGGAGGGAAAGUUCAUUGAGAGAACAAUACUCCCCCUAUGUCCAUGCCUACACAUAGAGGAAAAUAUAAUGAUGAGUGUGGUGUGGUGUGCCUAGUUUCAAUCCACAUUGCUUGAAUCAAUGAUAUUUAGCUCAUGCCUUAACUCGCAAAACCUCUUCAUCUAGAGGCUUGGUGAAAAUAUUCGCAAGUUGUCUUGAGUGUUGAUAAAGAGGACCUCAAUAUCUCCAUGCUUGAUAUGAUCUCGAAUGAAAUGAUGACGAAUAUCAAUAUGCUUGGUCUUGCUAUGUUGCACCGGAUUGAGAGAUAUCUUGACGGCACUUUCAUUGUCACAUAGAAGAGGCACUUUGUCAUAAGUGACACCGUAAUCCUUUAAAGUUUGCCUCAUCCAUAUAACUGAGCACAACAACUUGCGGCAGCUACAUACUCGGCCUCGGUGGAAGAAAGUAGCACACAGUUUUGCUUCUUCGAAGACCAACUUACCAAAGAGCGACCAAGGAAUUGGCAUCCUUCAGAAGUUGACUUCCUUCCGGCACAGUCUCCAGCCCAAUCUGAGUGAGAGUAACCUACUAGAUUAAAGCUUGCUCCUUUAGGGUACCAUAAGCCAAAGUUUGGGGUAUGAGUCAAAUAUCAAAAAAUUCGUUUGACAGCCGCGUAGUGGCUUUCCUUUGGUGCAGAUUGAAAUCGUGCACAAAUUCCCACACUCAACAUGAUAUCUGGUCUAGAUGCACUAAGGUAAAGCAAGGAUCCAAUCAUGGAGCGGUAUAUCUUUUGAUCCACUACUUUACCAUUGGGAUCAUUGUCAAGCUUGCAUUUGGUUGGCAUGGGAAAUUUGACCGGCUUGACGUCCUCUAGCUCGAACCUUUUGAGCAUGUCUUGAGUGUACUUGGCUUGUUUAAUGAACGUUCCUUCUCUUCCUUAUUUGAUUUCGAACCCAAGAAAGAACUUCAACUCUCCCAUCAUAGACAUCUCUGUUAGGAAAGCAACUUAUCUGUAUUGAAGGCCCAAGGGGCAUAUAUAUAUUACACAUGACUUGAGGUGCAAGGAAAGUAAACAUAGACUAAUAAGGACUCCUAGACUAAUACUGAUAGACUAAUAAGGACUCCUAGACUAAUACUAAUACUUCCUAACACCCCCCCUCAAAUGCAAAGCGUAUGCAAUAGCAUUGCAUUUGAAGAAGUGUAAUACUAAAAAAAAUGAUAAUCCAAAUCCGCAUCUUGAGAGUGUCGUCGUAGCAUGAAGAGUCUUCAAAACUUGUCGAGUCGCCGAAGGAGAGAACGAAGAGAUAGCACAUCAGAGGUAGACACCGCAUCACUUGAAGAUACAAGAUAAGUAUCAAGAGAAGAUGGGUUGUCAAAAGAAGAUGACACAUCAAGAGGAAGACACCGAAGAGAUGGCACAUCAAAGGAAGACACCGCAACACUUGAAGAUACAACAUAAGUAUCAAGAGAAGAUGGGUUCAAAAGAAGAUGGCACAUCAAGAGAAUAACGCAUUGUGCAGAAAAUCAUAGUCCACGACAACCGACGGCGAAAGAAGCUCGAUGGUUAAGGCACGAUGGACGUAGAUCGACAAUGCAAAAGAAAUCCAGAAAAUCCUAUAGAUAACAACAAGGGCAAGUAGGCCACAAAAGUUGUAUAGAAAGGAUCAGGACCGGAAAAAGGCUGCCGGACUAAGGUAUGGUGGACUCGCAUGGCAUGAGAAAACACAAAAUAUCAACGGAUUUGGUGGACGCAGCGGAAAACAAAGAAAACUAGAAAACACACACUAGAUUAGGGAUGAUGGCAGCGGAAGAGAAAAAAAAAUCAUGGCAAAGGGAAUAGCAGUAGCACGCAAGCUGGACGUGCGGGAGCAGAACAUGCAAUCAGGAGCUAAGCAGUACACGCCACGACAAGGUAGCAUGCAGCAGCAAGCAGCACGUGUGUAGCAGAGGCAGCGGUGGCCAAUAGCAUCAUGUAGCAGCAGUUUUUUUUUUGGAACACGACCCAAGCAGCGGCAGGUGGGAUCGGGACGGGAGGCUGGAGGCGGCGAGAUCCAGCGGCAGGUGGUGGAAGCAGCGGGAUCCCAACAGUGGCUGGUUGAUCCGAUCUGGAAGCAUCAGGGUCAACAACACGUGAGAACCAGACCAGCCGUUGUGGACCUGUAACGCUGGUGGAGGCUGGAGGCAGCUAGAUCGGAUCCGGAUCCCAACGAUCCAGCAGCGGCAGGUGGGAUCCAGCAGCAGCAGCGACUUCAGCCAGGAGCAGAUCAGGGGGAGUUGCAGAUCCAGACAGCCAGAAGAGGUGGCGAGAUACUUCGGCCAGGUGCAGAUCCAGCACCAGAGNAUACUUCGGCCAGGAGCACAUCAUGAGCGGUAGCGAGAUCCAGCGACGGGAACGGUGGCUGGAGCAGGAACGGGGAAAAAUUGGAUCGUGAGGAUGAGUUGCGGCGUCCGGAGACCUAAACCUAGGCUCUAAUACCAUGUUAGGAAAGCAACUUAUCUGUAUUGAAGGCCCAAGGGGCAUAUAUAUAUUACACAUGACUUGAGGUGCAAGGAAAGUAAACAUAGACUAAUAAGGACUCCUAGACUAAUACUAAUAGACUAAUAAGGACUCCUAGACUAAUACUAAUACUUCCUAACAAUCUCAAACUUCUCGGUCAUUAGUGCAGCAAACUCUUCAUUGAAAGAUUUGUUAGGAGAACCAAAUAUAAUAUCAUCAACAUAUAGUUGGCAUAUGAACAAAUCUCCUUUGACCUUUUUGGUAAAAAUGGUGGGCUCAAUUUUCCCAAUUUCAAACCCACGAUCUUGCAACAACUCGGUAAGGUACUCAUACCAUGCACGUGGGGCUUGUUUAAGGCCGUAGAGCGCCUUCUUGAGUUUGUAUACAUGAGUGGGGAACUUGGGAUCCUCGAAUCCCGGGGGUUGUUUGACAUAUACCAACUCACUUAAGGGGCUAUUAAGAAAUGCACUCUUCACAUCCAUUUGUUGCAAUUUGAAAUCAUGGUGAGAAGCAAAUGCAAGCAACAUGCGAAUAGAUUUAAGACGAGCAACAGGGGAAAAGGUUUCACCGUAGUCGAUACCCUCGACUUGGGAGUAGCCUUGAGCCACCGGUCUUGCCUUGUUUCGAACAACAACACCAUUUGCAUCUUGCUUGUUCUUGAAGAUCUAUUUGGUUCCAAUGACAUUAUGUUCCCCCGUUGGCCUUGGCACUAAUUCCCGAACUUGAUUGCACUCGAAGUUGUUAAGUUCGUCAUGCAUGGCUUCAAGCCGAUCCUCAUCAUCGAGCGCUUCAUGUACCUUUUGGGGUUCAACACACGAAACAAACGCGUGAUGCAAACAAAAGUUUGAUAAUUGUUGACGAGUAGUUACCCCCUUAUUGAAGCUUCCAAGCACAUUCUCCAAGAUAUGUUGUCGACGCUGGAGCUUGGAAGCCACUUUGACAGCGCGACGCUCUAGGAGUUCCUCACUGGGUAAUUGAGGAUCGUCAUUUUGAUCAUCUUGAGCACCGUCUUGAGCUUGCUCACUAGUUUGCCCUUGAUCUUGUGGUUGCACCUGAUCUUCAGCAAACUCAGAGUCUUGAGCAUGAUCUUGGACAUCAUUUGGUGCAACACGAUCCUCAUGAGGUUGAUCUUGUCCUUGAUCUUGCUCAACAGGUUGAGGGCCUUCACUUUGUUCUUCGGAAGCGUGUGGGACUAGCGAAGGUGAUGGCCCCACUUGAGUAGAACAUUGUCCUUCUCCUUCAGCCACAAGGGGUUCCUCAAUGGGGAGUAUUUGACAAUCCCCAUUCUUCUUAUGGCUCGAGGAGGAAUUUCAUCACCUACAUCACAAAGACCACUUAGGAGCCAUUAUUUUCAUCAAACUCUACGUUACACGUCUCCUCGAUGAGUCCGGUGGACUUGUUGAGAACACGAUAAGCAUGAGAGUUUGUAGCAUAACCAACAAAUACGCCCUCAUGAGCUCUAGCUUCGAAUUUAGACAAACGAACACCUUUCUUGAGAAUGAAACACUUACAACCGAACACCCGGAAGUACUUGAGGUUGGGCUUGUUCUCGGUAAGAAUCUCAUAUGAAGUCUUAUUCAAGCCUUUGCGGAGGUAGAGCCGAUUGGAUGCAUGACAUGCAGUGUUAAUUGCUUCGGCCCAAAAGUGUACGGAGAUUUGAACUCCGCCAUCAUGGUUCUUGCCGCGUCCAUCAGCGUCCGGUUCUUCCUCUCCGCCACACCAUUUUGUUGAGGAGUAUAGGGGGCCGAAUAUUGGUGCUUGAUCCCCUCGUCACUAAGGAACUCAUCCAAGGUGUAGUUCUUGAACUCGGUGCCGUUGUCACUUCUAAUCAUCAAUAUCUUUACUUCAUGUUGACGUUGAGCUUCAUUAGCAAAGUCGAUGACGGUUUGUUGAGUCUUGCUCUUCCUCUUGAAGAAGUAUACCCAAGUGUAUCUUGAGUAGUCAUCCACAAUCACCAAGCAAUACUUUCUUUCCCCAGAAUAUCAAAAUAUGGAGGACCAAAGAGAUCCAUGUGAAGGAGCUCCAAGGGCCUUUUAGAGUAAAUGAUAGUCGUGGGACGGUGAGCCGUUUCAUGAAGUUUCCCUUCUAUACAAGCACCGCAAGCACGGUCUCUUAUAAAACUCACAUUUGUUAGUCCACGAACGUGAUCCCCUUUGAGGAGACUUUGCAAAGAUCUCAUAUUGACAUGAGCUAGCCGGCGAUGCCAAAGCCAACCCACAUCAACUUUAGCCAUUAGACAAGUCACGAUCUUAGUGGGUCGCUCCGAAAAGUUCACCACAUAGAGACCGUUCUCGACAUGUCCAACAAAGGCUACUUUAAGAGUCUUGCUCCACAAAAGGGCCACAGUAUCAAGAUUAAAAAAUGUGGCAAAGCCCAUAAUUGCAAGUUGACGAACGGAAAGGAAAUUGUAUGCAAGGGACUCAACAAGCAUGACCUUCUCUAUAGAUAAAUCUUGAGAGAUGACCACCUUGCCAAAUCCCAUUACCUUAGAUGUUGAGGCAUCAACAAAUUGGACAUGGGUGGGCAUAGAUGGAAUUGGAUGCACAUCCACCACCAAGUCCUUGCUCCCGGUCGUAUGAUUUGUGGCUCCACUGUUGAGCAACCAUGACACCCCAUCGGAAGCAAACUCGUACAAGAUAUUAAUGCUUGGAUUUAGGUACCCAUUCUUGAAUGGGUCCUUUGAUGUUAGAAACAAGGGUCUUAGGAACCCAAAUAGCCCAUUCAAUGUACUCAUAACGAGAACCAACAAAUUUGGCAUAAAUAUGUCCAUCACUAGCACGACAUAAAAAAUAAAAGGGGUUAAAGUCGCCGGCUUUGUUGGUAGAGGUGGUUUUGCCCUUCUUGGCAUUAUCACCCCUUUCCUUGUUCUUCAUCUUCUUAUGAGUACUUUCACCCUCUUUGACAAAAAUGUCCUUGAGAGGGGGGAUAGCUUGGUCUUGUUCUUCUUUUUCUUCUUAGACUUGGGUGCAAAUCCAAGUCUCUCCUUUCCUACAACUUCCUUUUGAUUACUCAAAAGGUCAUUUAGAUUCUUCUCGCCUUGGAUGCAUGACACAAGGCCCUUUUCAAGUUGUUCUUUCAACUUGGCAUUCUCCUCCAUAAGAUACACAUGCUCACAACAAGGGUUAGUAGAACAAGCAUUAUCAAUUAGAACAAAAGGAGGACAAGUAGAAAUCUCCUUGGUUAGUUUUACUUGGAGUUGAUCAUGAGACUCCUUAAGAGAGGAAUGAACACCUUUCAAGACCUUGUGGGCCUUGUCAGGUGUAUCAAAUUCUUCCUUUAUUCUAUCAUAGCCAACCCCAAGUGCAACUUUCUUGGAAUUAAGCACACAGGUAAGAACAAUAGCAUGAUCAAGAUCUUUUUGCAAUUUAGCAUGAUCAACGUUGUGCGACUCCUCAAGAGCCAAACGAAGACCACACUCUUCCUCUAGAGCAAUGGAUAGUUCCGCAAUCUCAUCGGCGUAAUCACGACUAUGUCCCUCCAACUUGGAGAUAGUAUCCUCAUGAGUCUCAAUGAGAUCAUUCGCCUCACCAAGUUGUUCCAAAACAGCAACAAAGUGCCUCUUGGAUUCACCUUUGAUCUUACAGAGGAAUUUGUCAAACUCAUUCUCAUCAAGCUCCACUACUUCACUAUCAUCAACACAAUCUAACAAUGAAGGAGUAGUAGUGAUAGUGGUCUUGAUGUCGGGGGUUACCUUAUUGAUACCUUUGGCCAUGAGGCACUUGGCGAUGCGGUUCUCGUUGGUGGCGCCGAAGAGAGACACCUUGGGCGAGGAAGUGGCAAUGGCCACGGUAGCCGUUGCCAUCCCCUCAUGGCCUGUAUCAUCUUCGUCAUCAUCGGAGGUGUACUCUUCAUGGGCCACCAAACCCCUUGGAGGAGUCUUCUUGGUGAAGAUGUUCUUGCUUGGGAAAGACUUGGCUUUGUCUUUGUGAAUGAGCUUGCCCUCAUUGUCUUCCCUCUUCUCAUAUGGACAAUCCGCCACAAAGUGACUCACAUUGCCGCAACUGUAGCAUGUCCUUACUCGUUGCUUGUUCUUGGACCCACUUGAGUUGUUCUUGGAGAAGUUGGGCCUUGAGUUUCUCUUGUUGCCCCAAAAUUGCCUUGAUGCAAGAGCCAUGUGCUCGUAAUAAGCAUACUUUGUGUCUUCUGGGCAGCCAUCUUCUUCCUCUUUCCUCUUCUUCAUCCGAAAUGACCUUGGCUCUCAAGGCAAGGUUGGGUGAGGCUUUCUUCGACCGGACACGAGCAAGAGCAUUGUCGGCGGUCUUGUUCAUGAUAUUCAUGGCAAUGAACUCAUCCAACACUUCCCUUGAGGUCAAGGUGUGGAAAUCUGGCCUUUGACGAAUGACGGAGGACAUGGCUUUGUUGAAUGGCAUGAUGGCCUUGAGAAACUUGCACUUGAUCCAAGUGUCAUCCGUAUCCUUGCUCCCAUGAUCUUGGAGAGCAACGGCAAGAGUAGUCAUCCUUCGGUAGAGAUCACGGGGGUCCUCGUCUUCUAGCAUCACAAACUCAUUGGCCUCAUCAAGAACCACUUCAAAGUUGGACCGUUGAAUGCUUGAGCUCCCCUUGUACAACACCAUGAUGGGCUCCCAACAAUCCUUUGCACGGGUGAAGGGGCGCAAGUGAGAUAGAUCUUCGGGAGGAACCGCUGAUUGAAGGAUGAACAAAGCGGAAUGAUUGUAUUGAUUGUCCGCCUCUUCUCUUGGAGUGAGGUUGUUUGGAUCAUGUGGGUAGAAGCCUUGUUCGAUGAUUCUCCAAAGAUUUGUUGAGCUGUGAUUCAAAUGAGACUUGAUGCAAAAGACCCAAUUAGCGAAAUCACUUUUAACAAGUUUAGGAGGAGGACCAAGGUUAUUAAUAUGCGGUGUAGGGACCGGUCCUCCAUAGACCGGGGAGGAGAAACCGAGACAAAGGUUCCCGUUCCAUUCUUGUCAAGAGGGGAAGAAGUUCGAGUACCUUUAGCCGGUUCCUUUUCAGAAUUGGCCUCCUACUCCGAUGUGGUGGGUUUAGCCACAAGCAACGGUUCGGGAGAAUUCUUCAUCCCCUCAAGUAAUUCUUUAAGCAUGGACUUGACUUCGGUCGUCAUGGACGUCUUGAGUGAGGCCAUAGCCUCAUUCAAGUCGCCCCGUGUGAUCGAACUCAACUCCACGGCCUCGGGCACUUCGUGCCCAACCUCACCGUUGUCAACCAUACUCUUCGGGUGGUGAAACCCUUAAUAAAGAGACGUGGCUCUGAUAUCAAUUGAAAGGAUUGAUAUGGUUGACUAGAGGGGGGGGGGGGUGAAUAGACAACUACCAAUUUUUAGCUCUUCUUAACAAAUUAGGGUUAGCAACAAAAGGUUCUCUAGAUGAACAACUAGGUGAGCAACCUAUAUGAUGCUAACAACAACAACAACUAAAGCAAGCAAGGAAUACACCACAACAAUAAUAAGUACAAAGUAAAGGUAAGAGAUAACCACAAGUGGGAACCGGUGGAGACGAGGAUGUGUUACCAAAGUUCCUUCCCUUUGACAGGAAGUACGUCUCCGUUGGAGCGGUGUGGAGGCACAAUGCUCCCCAAGAAGCCACUAGGGCCACCGUAUUCUCCUCACGCCCUCACACAAUGCGAGAUGCUGUGAUUCCACUAGUGGUGCCCUUGAAGGCGGUGACCGGACCUUUACAAACAAGGUUGGGGCAAUCUCCACACAAAGCUUGGAGGCUCCCAACAAGACCACGAAGCUUCACCACAAUGGAAUGUGUCUCCGAGGUGACCUCAACCGUCUAGGGUGCUCAAACACCCAAGAGUAACAAGAUCCGCAAGGGAUUAGUGGGGGGAAUCAAAUAUCUCUUGGUGAAAGUGUAGAUCAGGGCCUUCUCAACUAAUCCGUAGGAAAUCAACAAGUUUGAUUGGCUAGGGAGAGAGAUCGGGCGGAAAUGAGCUUUGGAGCAACAAUGGAGCUUAGGGAGGUAAGAGCUAACCUUCUUGGGGAAGAAGACCCCUUUAUAUAGUGGGGGAAAGAAUCCAACCGUUACCCCCCACUCACAGCCCGAGUAGAGCGGUAGUACCGCUGCUAGGAGCGGUACUACCGCACGGUAGGUUCACCAACCAUGGUAGUAAUAAUUACUACCGUGCCUAGCACCGCAGAGGCCGUGGUUGCACAAAAAGUCCGAGGGAGCGGUAGUAAAAAACUACUACCGCCCAGAGAGCGGUACUACUGCUGUGCCUGCGGUACUACCGCUGGUCCUUUUGCACAGACAGGGAGAAACAAGCUGGAGCUCCAUUGAAGCGAGGGAAAGGUGGUGCAAUAGAAUUGUGCACGUGUUGAUUCCACCAUAACCUUUCCGAAGCGGACCCCCUCUUAAUAGUACGGCUUUCCUACGACUCAAAUCCACCAAAGAGAAACGUAGAAAGCAACCGUCUUUGAAAGACUCCGAGGGGCAUCGAAUCGUCUUGUGCCUAGUCAUGAAUUAUCUAAAAUGCUCAAUACACACGAUUAGUCCGCACAGGCAUUGUCAUCAAUCACCAAAACCAUUUAGGGAGAAAUAUGCCCUAACAAACUCCCUCGGUAUCGCUGGCGCUUGCAGCAUGAUCGGAAUCGCGGCGGGACAGCGCAUCCGCGACGCCGUUGAGACGGCCCUGGCGAUAUUCGACGGUGAAGUCAAACCCAAAGAGCUUGCUGACCCGUUGGUGCUGCGGAACGCUGGAAAGCAUCUGGUCCAACAAGAACUUGAGGCUGUAGUGAUCUGUGCGUAUAAGAAACGGCCGCCCCCACAUAUACGGCCGCCAAUGACGCACCGCAUGCACCAGCCUGAUGAGCUCCCGUUCGUAAGCGGCGAGCUUGUGAUGGCGCACUGCGAACGGACGACUGAAGAAAGCGAGGGGUCCUGCAUCCUGAUGUAGGACGGCGCCGAAUCCCACGCCCGAGGCGUCGCAGUCCACUGUGAACAGCCUAUCGAAAUCUGGCAUGUGGAGAACCGGCCCAGUCGCGAGUGCCUGCUUUAGGGUCUGAAAAGCCUCAACCGCGUCGGUGUCCAAGGUGAACGCGUCGCGCUACAGCAGCCGCGUAUGUGGGGCCGCAAUGCGCCCAAACUCCCGAAUGAAUUUGCGGUAGUAGCCGGCUAGCCCCAAGAACCCGUGGAGAGCCCGUGGCAACUGUGGCGUCGGCCAGGUGGCGACGGCGUCGACCUUCUCCGCAUCCAUGGCAACACCCUCCACCGAGAUGACAUGUCCGAGAUAAGCAAUGGACGGUGUGCCAAACGAGCACUUCGAGCGCUUAAGGUAUAGGUGGUGCGCCCGAAGCUCGUUAAGGACGAUGGCAAUGUGCUGCAAGUGCUCCGCCCACGACGAGUUGUAGAUGAGGAUGACGUCGAAGAAGACGAGCACAAACCGCCGUAAGUAGGGCGAAGGACGUCGUUCAUCAAUGCCUGAAACAUCGCCGGGGCGUUGGCAAGGCCGAACGGCAUGACCAAGAACUCGAAGUGGCCAUGAUGAGUGCGAAAAGCCGUCUUCGCAAUGUCGUCCGGGUGCAUCCGCACCUGAUUGUAGCCGGAGCGGAGGUCGAGCUUGGUGAAGAAGCAUGCCCCGUGUAGCUUGUCCAGGAGCUCCUCAACAACCGGAAUAGGAAAUUUAUUAUUGGAUGUCUUGAUGUUGAGAGCCCGAUAAUCAAUGCAGAAGCGCCACGUGCCAUCGGCCUUACUGACGAGGAGCACCGGCGCCGAGAAUGGUGAGGUGGUCGGCCGGAUGAUGCCUUGGGCAAGCAUCUCCGCGCACUGCCGCUUGAGUUCAUCUUUCUGUAGCUGGGGGUAGCGGUAUGGACGGACGGCCAUUGGAGGUGUGUCCGGCAGUAGGUGAAUGCGAUGGUCGUAGGCCCGGACUGGCGGGAGCCCCUGGGGUGGCUAUAAUGCGCGCCGGUCAUAACACACCAACGCAAGUUUAUAUGCUGCAAAUUUCUGUGCAAGUUGUGACUAUAAGGUAUCCUAGUUUCUCCCAUAAGUCAGUUUUGUAGAAUACCACAUAACUUAAAUGGGAGAAUCUAAAUUGUUAUAAAUAUAUAUUUACUUGGAGCCAACGAUCUUGUUCUCACUGUUUAAUGCUAGUUUUUAGUAAAUGAUUCACUCGUGGUCUUGUUUAUGCAGGUUAUCUUAAUUAUCGUUUUACUACUGGUGUACAAUUGCUCUGAUCAAUUCAUUGCAGUUCGAGCUAAAAUUUCAUCGAAGUCCCGUAAAAAGGCAGCAAAAAUUGCGCAAGAAUCGGCAACAGCACGGGGAAGAUGGAAAUUAGCAAAAGAACUUGUACUAAGGCAUGAACUGGAAAUGUAUGAGUCUUCUGAUGCACCUGAGGAAGUAGCUACAUCAUCUGAUGGGAUACUGCAUGCUAAUAAAGGUAAUGGUAAGAGAUCAAAAAAUCGCAGAAAGCUAAAUGAUCGCACUGAGAGGUUCAGGCGUGCAUAUAGUCAGAUUGAUAAGGAAAGAGCUCUGCAGCUAGACAAAGAUAAACUAACACUCUCUGGAAUAGUGUCUCGAGCUGCUGAAAACAGACCACAGAGGCCAAUGCUUGAGGUGGCUUUCAAAGGUCUGACAUUAUCCAUUGGAAAAAAGAAACUUCUGCAAUGUGUUACUGGAAAACUUUCACCAGGUAGGAUAACGGCUAUUAUGGGUCCUUCUGGAGCAGGAAAGACCACAUUUCUCAACGCUGUGUUAGGUAAAACAUCAGGCUAUAAGAAGGAUGGAUUGGUCCUUGUAAAUGGAAAAUCUGGAUCGAUGCAGUCGUAUAAGAAGAUAAUUGGCUUUGUUCCACAAGAUGAUAUCGUACAUGGAAACCUGACGGUUGAGGAAAAUCUGUGGUUUAGUGGAUGCUGCAGGUACUGGAGACAUAACAAAGCGCAGUUCGUUUGUGUUCCCAAAUUAUUCUUUUGGCCUUCCACUAAAAUUUUCAAUGCACAAUUUUAUUAGGAUCAGUGACACAGCAUUGCUAGAUUUCAAUUCGCUGCAGAACUCAACAAUACUCCCUCCGUCUGGAAUUACUUGUCGCACGAAUGGAUAAAAUGGAUGUAUCGAGAACUAAACUACAUCUAGAUACAUCCGUUCCUAUGACAAGUAUUUCCGGACGGAGGAAGUAUUAUUUUUUACAGCUUCUUCAGGAACUACACUGAAAAAGAUGUCGAAUUGAGCUUUGGACCCAGUUUUUGUCUACUCCCCUCCCUCCCGAGGCGCUCCAACGGGAGGAAACCCUAGCGCCGCCGCCUCCCCUCCCCUCCCCCCUCCCCCGCUGCCGCCAGAGCGAGCGCGUGGGCGAAGCCCGUGCGUAGCCGACGACAGCAGGCCCCUUCGUCUCCUCGCUUGGGGGAUGCGGCACGGGCCGGACCUCGCGACCAGGAUGCAUCGCUAGUUGCCGGGUGCGGCAGCGCAUCGGCGCUCGGCGCGGGCUGGGGACGGGGGCGUGGCGGUUAUGCGACGGGCGGCAUGGUGGUGGUGCAGGCCAGCUGGUGGUGACGGUGGCGGCGGCUUCGUGCGUCGGGAUCCGCCUCUGAUGCUGCGGGUCGCGGGCGGCCGCCUGGGCUGCGGGCGACUUCUCUCGCUGUGGUGUGAUGGUGUGGGGGCGGCGCGACAACGGUGGAUGUGGGCGGCCCCCGUUCAGUCGGGCCCUUGCGGCUGGCGGUGGCGCUCGGCGCGGGAGGGCCUCCCUGGUGAUCUUCCUCGGCGGCGGCAGCGGGUCGAUCUGGUGCCCCUCAUCGGUGGGUGUGCAUCUGUUGGUGGCCUCACGGGGAUGUGUCCCGGCUACGAUGGUGGGGCGACACGAGGUGGUGUUGCGGAGCUCGGUAGGAGGGAUGGGUGGCCUNNNNNNNNNNNNNNNNNNNNNNNNNNNNNNNNNNNNNNNNNNNNNNNNNNNNNNNNNNNNNNNNNNNNNNNNNNNNNNNNNNNNNNNNNNNNNNNNNNNNNNNNNNNNNNNNNNNNNNNNNNNNNNNNNNNNNNNNNNNNNNNNNNNNNNNNNNNNNNNNNNNNNNNNNNNNNNNNNNNNNNNNNNNNNNNNNNNNNNNNNNNNNNNNNNNNNNNNNNNNNNNNNNNNNNNNNNNNNNNNNNNNNNNNNNNNNNNNNNNNNNNNNNNNNNNNNNNNNNNNNNNNNNNNNNNNNNNNNNNNNNNNNNNNNNNNNNNNNNNNNNNNNNNNNNNNNNNNNNNNNNNNNNNNNNNNNNNNNNNNNNAUGGGUGGCCUCGAUGCGUUCGCGUCACCUAUCGCUGGCACGGUGAUGUGCCGGUCCGGAUUUGUCCGCUCCCCUUUCUCCCCCUUUCCUCGGCCGCGGGAGAGUUGGCACAGGUCUUCCAGCGGAGCGCCUGGAGGUGGGUCUGUUGGUUGAGAGCCGCCGGUUGGUCCAAAGCUAGGGCCUUUGUGUAGGUCUUGGGGUUUUCUGGUGGCAGGGCGGCGGCUCUAGUGGCGGGAGGCGCGGCGUUUUGGGGGCGGAUCGUGUGUCUCAGGUACGGGUGGGCAACCAUGGCCACACAUGUGGCAUGGUUGCGGGUGGUUGACGGAGCUAGGAUGUGACGGAGGGGUGUGAGCGCCGAGGUACACCACUUGCCCAGUUCUUUGACUGGCCGACAGUGACGGUGGACGUUAUUGCCGUAUCCUUCCCGAAGGCUCCGACGCGACGUUUCCUUUUCUAUCGUCUUGCUCUGGGUGAAAACCUGAUCUUCGCGAUCGGGCAGUGGCGGCUACCCUUGGUCGUACCCUUCUGGGAGGCACCACUUUGGAUGCCUAGCUUGGUUGUUAGUCCGGUUCACCUCUCUAUUGUGGAUGCUCAUGAUGGAGGUCUCUGUCGGCUCCAAGCCGUCCUCCUCACUCAUCUGUAGUUUGCUUGGUUGUCGGUGGGGUGGUGUGUCGGCGGCCGACAACUUUGUAUCUUGCCCUGAGUGUGUGCGUUGUGUGUGGUGGUGGUGCGUGUCUAUUCGGUCUCUCGGAUAUAUUCGGUGUUGGUUGCUUUAUAAUAUAAAGCGGGGGGAAACCCUGUUUGGGUAAAGAUGUUGAAUUUUUCAGAUAUAGUUUAGUUUGAUUAUUAAAGUGUUUAUCAUUUCUUUACUUAUUUAUUCACAUUCCCCCCUUCAUAUAUACUUCCUCAAGUUGAGACACUUAUUUUGAGACGCAGGGAGUAUAAAUUAAUCAUAUCUCUUGUAUGGCAUAAGUCAUGUGCCUAGAUGGCUCCUAGCAGUUGAUGCAUGUUCUUUACUAUGCAUCUACAAAAAGUGAUAUCGCCUAAUUAAUUUCAGCAACUCUUUUGAUGAUAUCCUUAUUGUACUUUUAUAGGCAAUCAUUUGCUCUAACAAUCACCAUUCUUUUGUGAAACAGGUUAAGCAAAAGCAUGUCAAAAGCUGAUAAGGUUCUCAUUCUUGAACGGGUUAUAGGGUCACUAGGGCUCCAAGAAAUCAGAAAUUUCCUUGUUGGGACAGUGGAAAAGCGGGGUAUUUCUGGCGGACAAAGGAAGCGUGUGAAUGUUGGGAUUGAAAUGGUUAUGGAACCAUCUCUUCUGAUAUUAGACGAGCCAACAACAGGCUUAGAUAGUGCUUCCUCUCAGCAACUUCUAAGAGCUCUUCGUCAUGAAGCAUCGCAAGGCGUGAAUGUUUGUGCAGUGAUUCACCAACCAAGGUUUCCCUGUAAACUUUGAAUUAAUCAUGCCUUUAUUUUUUCCAGAAAGAAUCCUUGUCGAAUGUUCAGUUGAAAUGACAUAGCUCAUAUGAAAAGUGCUCUUGCAUUUUUUCGUAACAAUAAUUGAUGGGCCAGCCAAUACACCAGGGCUACCUAUCAGUUGGCGUUAUAAAAUUUGGUAAAAACAAAUUCAUGUACAUGCCUAGUAAUCCCCCAACUUUAUAUAAUAAGUGGUGUAAACAUGGCUAGUCAGGCAGUCAUUUAUCCUUGUGUGACUAGAAUAAUCUUCUCUACACAUCCUUUUCUACUUUAUUAAGAUGAAUUUGGAUCUAACAUGUAUUCUUUUGGCAGCUAUACUUUGUUCAAUAUGUUUGAUGACUUUGUUCUUUUGGCAAGGGGCGGCCUUAUUGCUUACCAUGGGCCUAUAAGUGAAGUUGAAAAUUAUUUCUCAGGCCAGGGGAUCAAGGUUCCUGAUCGUGAGAAUCCUCCAGAUUAUUAUAUUGACAUCUUAGAGGGAAUAGCAAAGACAAAAAUGAGGGGGCAUGCCACUCCUAAACAUUUGCCACUUCUUUGGAUUAUACAUAAUGGAUAUGAAGUUCCAGAAGAUAUGCGGAAGGACCUUGAGGAGAUCAAUAUGAUGCAUGAGUUAUAUACUGUAGGGUCCAUUACUAGAGAACUAUCUUCUGUAGAACAGACAGAGAGUAAAGAUUCUGUGCACCAAAAUGUCAGCCAAAGAAAUGAUUUACUGAAUAGGAAAACACCCGGUGUACUUGCACAAUACAAGUACUAUUUAGGGAGGUAAUCCGAUCUCCUUAAUCUCUCUAACUUGCUUUGGUGAAUCAUUUUGUAACUUCAUAGCCAAAUUAUGUUGUCAGGGUAGCUAAGCAACGUCUACGUGAAGCUACACAGCAGGCUGUUGAUUACCUGAUAUUGUGUAUUGCUGGCAUAUGCAUUGGAACCAUCACAAAAGUAAACGAUGAUACACUCGGUGUAGCUUCUUAUGGGUAUACCAUAAUUGCAGUUUGUAAGUCGGCUCCAUCUGUUAUUUUUACAAAUGUCCUAAACCAUAAACUAGCAAAAAAAAAAAACAGAAGAAGAAAUGUUCUGUUCCAUGAAGCAUCUUAUUAGAUUGCAACAAUAUUGAGAGCCACCCCACACACUAGGUACAAUGGACUGCAUAAAAGUUGGUGAGAGAUAUUUGUAACACCUGACCUGGCCAUACAUGACCUAUCAUUUCAUUAAGCUUGUAUAAUUUACAAAAGAAAAUUGUCAAAUAAAUUAAAAAAAUGAUUUAUCACUUCAUGUGCCAUCUUUACCUGGAGUAUAUAUUACUUACAAUAGCGUUCUUCCUGACUUUAAUUUGCUUUGUGCACAGCACUGUUGUGCCAACUUGCGGCACUGCGAUCAUUUUCACCAGAAAGAUUGCAAUACUGGAGGGAGAGAGAAUCUGGCAUGAGCUCUGUAGCUUACUUCCUUGCAAGAGACACUAUUGAUCAUUUCAACACCGUGGUUAAACCAAUUGUCUUCCUCUCAACAUUUUAUUUCUUCAACAACCCACGGUCUACACUUCGAGACAAUUAUUUGGUCUUGCUUGCAUUAGUAUACUGUGUAACUGGCAUAGGUUAUACUCUUGCAAUUUGGUUUGAGCUAGGAUUAGCUCAGUUGGUAAGUAGGCAAUUAUCAAAAAAAGUUACCAUUCUAUGGAAAACCCAAAUUACGGGCGGUAAUUUAGCUUAAUGAACUUUGCUCUUGCAGUGUUCUGCAUUGCUACCUGUGGUACUGGUCCUGGUGGGUACUGACCCAAAAUUUCCACAAUUUAUUAAACAAUUCUGCUAUCCCAAGUGGACACUAGAAGCUUUCAUUAUUGCUGGAGCAAAAAAGUUAGUAGUUUCUCCCUCAAUGUUGUUAGUAUUUCCCAUUUCCUUCAUCACCAAAUCGCCAAUUAAUGAAUAGUAAAAGUUGAGUUCUUAUCAUUUAAUUAAGCUUGUUGGCAGCACAGGAUAGGAUAUAUUAACUCCUAGAAAAGCAUAUUGAGCUAAUUGCUCAUUCAUAUCUAUAUAGAAGAAAAAGACCCUGAGUUCUAUAAUAGCUUGAAAAUGCUAAAAACUGUUUGGUGGAGUAAGAAAAUAUAAUAUUCUCACAUGAAAGUUAUUGCAGGCAAUUAUCACUCCGGCAUAUACUGAAAAUUGUAACUAAUCCUUUUAGUGCAUAUGUAUUUAUAUUUGUAUUUGGCACUAAAGUCUCCUAGAGCAAAUUACUACUCCCUCCGUUCCUAAAUAUAAGUCUUUUUAGAGGUUCCACUAGUGAAGUACAUACGGAUGUAUAUAGACAUAUUUUAGAUUGUAGAUUCACUCAUUUUACUCUGUAUGUAGACUCCUAGUGAAAUCUCUUAAAAGACUUAUAUUUAGGAACGAAGGGAGUAAAUAUCAACAGUUUCUUCAUUCAGUUGCCCUCUACAAAUUUUAGGUUAUCAGGUUCACGUUAGUAUAACGAUCAAACUUAAAGCCUUUUACCCUUUUUCCUAACACAUAUUAUUACGGUAUUGCCCUUCAGAUAUUCUGGUGUAUGGCUGAUUACGCGAUGUGGAGCACUGCUAAAAGGUGGUUAUGAUAUCAAUUAUUUUGCUCUCUGCAUCGCCAUUAUGAUGCUUAAUGGUGUACUCUUCCGGUUUGUUGCUCUACUUAGUCUGUUGAAGCUAAGAUAGAGGUAAGUAUGCAUAUAAUUAGUUUUUUUGUCAAUUUUCCCUCUGCUUUCGUUUUACUUAACCUGGACAUGUGGAUUAUGAAGGUUCUUACCAUCUCGCGAACUAAAGAACAAGGGCUUGUUCUCUUGAAUAUUCAAAAUUCAACGGCUGUGGAGUUUCUAUACAACAAGGUUAUCGCAUCGGUAGAGUAGAGACCUCUAGAAUAUAUGCAGAUUUGUAAUUAUUAUUCUUGUCCAUAGGCUCUUGGCGGUGUGGGGUGAUCGGACUUACUCCCUCUGUUCCAUAAUAUAGUCUUUUUAGAGAUUCCACUAAAAGAUUACAUACGGAUGUAUAUAGACAUAUUUUAGAGUGUAGAUUCACUCAUUUUGCUCCGUAUGUGGCCCCUUAGUGAAAUCGUUUAAAAGACUUAUAUUUAGAAACGGAGGGAGUACAUAGGUAGAGGUAUGCUUGUACAUGCAAACUUAUGACUUGCUGACCUUCAUUUCUCGAAUGCAAAUGUAAUCUCGAAUUGUCCCUUUGUAUUUAAUUUUGCUGUAUGAAAAGUGUGAAAUCCAGUUCUAGGACAGAAAAGCAGGCUGGUCGUUUUUGUUACGAAAGCAACUUGUUUAUAUUGAAGGCCCAAGGGGCAUAUAUAUAUUACACAUGACUUGAGGUGCAAGGAAAAUAAACAUAGACUAAUAAGGACUCCUAGACUAAUACUAAUACUAACAAGGACUCCUAGACUAAUACUAAUACUUCCUAACACCCCCCUCAAAUGCAAAGCGUAUGUAAUAACAUUGCAUUUCAAGAAGUUUAAUACUAAAAAAAAAAUGAUAAUCCAAAUCCGCGUCUUGAGAGUGUCGUCGUAGCAUGAAGAGUCUUCAAAACUUGUCGAGUCGCCGAAGGAGAUAACGAAGAGAUGGCACAUCAUAGGUAGACACCGCAUCACUUGAAGAUACAAGAUAAGUAUCAAAAGAAGAUGUCUUGUCAAAAGAAGAUGAUACAUCAAGAGAAUAAAGCAUUGUGCAGAAAAUCAUAGUCCACGACAACCGUCGGCGAAAGAAGCUCGGCGGAUAAGGCAUGAUGGACGUAGAUCGACAAUGCAAAAGAAGUCCAGAAAAUCCUAUAGAAAACAACAAGGGCAAGUAGGCCACAAAAAUUGCAUAGAAAGGAUCAGGACCAAAGAAAGGCUGACGGACUAAGGUAUGGUGGACUCGCAUGGCAUGAGAAAACAAAAAAUAUCAACGAAUUUGGUGGACGCAGCGGAAAACAAAGAAAACUAGAAAACACACACUAGAUUAGGGAUGAUGGCAGCGGAAGAGAAAAAAUAAUAUCAUGGCGGCGAAGGCCAAUUCCAACCAGAGUGUGCGUGAGACGGUCCUGACUGUGUAGAAGGUGGUUGCUCAGUGCGGGAAGCCUGAGUCAUAAUACCAGCAGUACCCGUCGAGGAAGAACCUGAAGCAGCGAGCAGACGCUUAAGUCUCAGAAUAUCCUGCUCAGUCAAAGCAAUGGCUGAAGCUGUCAAGGUAGAUGACGAAGUCUCUGUAGAUGAUGAUUCGCCUGGUGCAAGUGUUUCUUCUUCGUGUAGCAGUGGGACUCAAUAUGACCAUCAUUGUUGCAGUAGCCACAAUGUGGACGGGGGCGACCUGAGCCUCCAGAAGGAGUGGGCAAGAGCGGCGGAGCACUCGAGUGAGAAGGGGUCGGUGCAGCAGGUGGCGUAGAAGUAGCCCGAGCAGCGAGCACCGAGGGAACCUCCAGCAAACCAGCACCACGUAAGCGAGUCUCCUCUGCACGAAUCUCAGAAAGCGCCUCCAUGAGAGAAAUAUGGCCACGAGCAAACAACUGAGCACGCCGGGGCUCAAACUCCUUACGGAGCUGAGACAGGAACUCGUAGACACGAUGAAACUCCAAGUUGGUCUGGACAGCCUGGCAAAAGGGGCAAGUACGACAACCAGCGGUGCGGAGAGAAUCGAGCUGGCGCCAGAUAGCAGAACUCUGUGCAUAGAAGUCAUCAACAGUAGAGUCACCCUCCUGAAGAGCAUGCUCCUGACGAACCACGGAGAGGUAUAAGGCAUCACCAGAGGGCGCAUAGCGCUGACGAAGGCGAGUCCACAUCUCAAAGGCAGUAGAAAGGCCCAAAAACUCAGAGGCAAACUGAGGCAGAACACUAGCAGUGAGAACAGCUGCAGCACGAGCAUCAUCAUCAAGCCACUGGGUGUAAGCGGACAGAGCACCGUGAUACACCUGAAGAGCCUCCUCAUAAGCCAAGACCUUCUCAUCAUAAGCACUCACGGCGGCCUCAUCAUCAAGCUUAGCUGCAUCCUUUGUGGCCUGAGGAGCAUCCGGAGGAAGAGCCGGUGGGGUUGGCGGAGUAGGAGCCAUGGGAGGAACCGGACGUGGCGGACAACAGACCUCGCCAGAGAGAACUCCCGAGAGACGGAUGUCACGCAUGUGAAUGCGCAUGAAGCCAGUGAACUCGGUGUAGUUAGUACCAUCGAAGAUCACCGAACAGCGAGGGACAACAACAUAGCCAGAUGCAGUAGACAUUUUUUUAAACUCAGUCAGCGAGCCGCGUCCGCGUCUGACAGCAGGAUUGGAGACGGCGUGGUAUGGUGAGAUGAGGCGUCAGAUCUGGCGGAGCCGUCUGAUGGAAACUGCCUCGAUCUGGAGAUGGGAAUCACGUCCGCUGGGAACAACCUUGAUCUGCUGAUGGAAACACGUCCCUGCUGAUGGAACACGUCCGCUAGGAACAACCUGCUGAUGGAACACGUCCCUGCUGAUGGAAUACGUCCGCUGGGAACAGCCUCGAUCUGUGGAUGGGAACCACGUCCGCUGGGGAACCGCUCGAUCGGGAGGCUCGCGAGGCAUGGGAGGAACCGCCUCGAUCGGACCGCUUCGAUCUGGCGAGCGACGGGAGGGACCGCUCGAUCUGGCGAGGCCGAAUCCAGCAGGAGUGGUGACGGGCAAGACCGAGAGCUUCGAGCGGGAUGGGCUGACGCAGCCGAUCCGAUCCAGACGGGAGCCUGAAGGCUUCGAGCGCGGCCAGCGCGAUCCGGCAUGACCAGUAGGGUUCGAGCAGGGCCUGCAGGAGCAGACGAGAAGGAGGACUGGAUCGAGACGAACGGGAGAUCGAGGACGAGAUUGGAUAGAAGCACGAGUUGCGCGUGCAAAAAAAAAAGAACCUAAGGCUUUAAUACCAUGUUAGAAAAUUAACUUGUCUAUAUUGAAGGCCCAAGGGACAUAUAUAUAUUACACAUGACUUAAGAUGCAAGGAAAGUAAACAUAGACUAAUAAGGACUUCUAAACUAAUACUAAUACUAAUAAGGAUUUCUAGACUAAUACUAAUACUUCCUAACAGUUUUAAUAUAUUUAUCCACAUUUCUAUAGAACACACGCUUACCUUGGAUUCUGCAGAGGUGCCACUUACCUUGGAUCUUACUAAGAUAAUUGUCCAGGCUUUUAUGAUAGAAAAAACACUAAGUCAUAGGUAUAUCAACAUUACCAAAUUGGGAUCUUGGAUCUUGUGAGGAGAAUUUUGUAGUGAUAUGUAAAUGCUCAAAGUCAAAAUUCCUCAAUAUUCCACACAUACAUUUCUCGUUUUAGGUAAAAAACUGGCAAUGGUAUUACUAACCAUUGUUUCCACGUCACCACAGUUCACAACUGCGAAAAUUAAAUUGUAAGUAGCUGGUAGCUGGUAAACUCAUCACAUAGCAAUGCAACAAUUGACAUCUUGGAUCGUGUGCCUAAUCCUGCCGUCCUGCCAUCCAGGCCAUGUAUCUUCUGGAAGAAUUGAACAUAGAAGUCAUUUCUGUGGACUUCCCGCCAGAUAAUUAAAAUCUUGGUAGUACCAAAGUCUGACCUUUCCAAGUUUUCCACGCCGGCAGGUUUGAAGAUGAAGAUAAACAUAAAUAUAUAUCUUGAAUACCAUAAGCUUUAAAUAUAUUACCAGAAGGGUUGGGCGCGCUUUUGCUGUGCCGUUUUGUGUUGUUGGAUUUUCAUAAAAAGGUGAAUUCCACUUUUUACCUUGUAGUUGUAUAUUUAGGACACAUAUUGCCCUGAAAAUUCAAUUGAAAUAUCACAUUUUGGAGACUUUUAACAUGGGUUUGCCAUAGUUUUGCAUUUUUCUUGUUUAUGUUAGAUAGGAUCGACAUGUUGUGUCGGUGAUUCAAAAAAGAAUGUGUAAAGAACCAAGGGUAUCAUUGACGAUAAUGUGUAGACUUUUCUUGUCCAUUUGUUUCAUUUAUCGUCGUUGUCUAGAUAUCUUUUGACCCUGGGCGUCACCUCACACCUUGCCCAAUGGACACGCAUCAGAAAAUUACGAUCCUGUAACAGCCCGAGACCGACGCUCCAAAAGAUUCUCCUUUUAGUCUGUUGCCGCCGUGUGAUUAGAUUAUUUGUCGCAUUCAUCAUCGUAUCAUUCGCAUCAUCUGCAUUGCAUCGGCAUUCCGUUGCCGUCAGUUUUCAAAAAUUGCAUCCGUAGUAGUUGCCGGUUCUUUUCGUUUUCAUCGUUCACCGUUUUGGGACUUACCACACACGCACGCGACAGCGACAUCGUUAAAAUAUUGUUUUGAAAAGUGUGUAUAAAAUAUUCUUGGAUCGGGUUGAAACUUGGCGUACGGCCUUAUUUUAGUGUAGGUAGGACGCUUGCCAAAUUUUGUCGCAAUCUGAGUUCCUUUCAUACCCGAACCGUUAAACCUAUAGCGGCACUAUAGGCGGUCAAUUUUGUUGGAAAUAUGCCCUAGAGACAAUAAUAAAAUGGUUAUUAUCAUAUUUCCUUGUACAUGAUAAUCGUCUAUUGUUCAUGCUAUAAUUGUAUUAACAGGAAACCGUAAUACAUGUGUGAAUAAAUAGAUCACAAUGUGUCCCUUGCAAGCCUCUAGUUGGCUAGCUCGUUGAUCAAUAGAUGACCAUGGUUUNAGGAGCUCCGGAAUGGUCCGGAGGUAAAGAUUGAUCUAUAGGAUGGAUGGUUUUGGACACCGGAAAUGUUUGGGGCGUUACCGGUAGCGUACCGGGACCAUCGGGACCACCGGAAAUGGUCCCGGGGGUCCACCGGGAGGGGCCACCAGCCCCAAGAGGCAGCGUGGGCCAAAAGGUGGAGGGCAACCAGCCCAAAGUGGGCUAGUGCGCCUCCCACAUAGAGGCCCAAGGCGCAGGAGGUGGAGAGGGGGCAAACCCUAGGCGCUGGUGGGCCUAAGGCCCACCUAGGGGUGCGCCACCCCCUCCCCCUGCCCUGGCCACCGCACCUCCCAUAUGGAGGGGCUGCCGCACCACCUAGGAUGGGAACCCUAGGGGUGGCACCCCCUCCCCUCCUCCUAUAUAUAGAGAGGGUUUUGGGGCUGUUUUGCACACAGUUUUCCCUCUCCCUUGGCGCAGCCGUGCUCCCCUCCUUCCUCCUCUUCCACGGUGCUUGGAAAAGCCGUGCCCGGAGACCUCGCCUCUCCAUCGACACCACGCCAUCGUGCUGCCGGAGAUCUUCCCCAACCUCUCCCUCCUCCUUGCUGGAUCAAGGUGUGGGAGACGUCACUGGGCUGCACGUGUGUUGAACGCGGAGGUGCCGUGGUUCGGCACUAGAUCGGAAUAACACCGCGAUCUGAAUCGCCGCGAGUACGACUACAUUAACCGUGUUCUAGCAACGCUUCCGCUUAGCGAUCUUCAAAGGUAUGAAGAUGCAGUCACCGCUCUCUCGUUGCUGGUCUCUCCAUAAGAAGAUGUGAAUAUGGCGUAGGAAAAUUUUGAAUUUAUGCUACGUUACCCAAUAGUGGCAUCCGAGCCAGGUUUUCUAUGCGUAGAUUCUAUGCACGAGUAGAACACAAAAGGUUGUGGGCGAUGAUUUGUCAAUUGCUUGCCGCUACUAGUCUUAUUCUUUUCCGGCGGUAUUGUGGGAUGAAGCGGCCCGGACCGACCUUACACGUACACUUACGUGAGACUGGUUCCACCGACAGACAUGCACACCGUGCAUAAAGGUGGCUAGCGGGUGUCUGUCUCUCCCACUCUAGUCGGAUUGGAUUUGAUGAAAAGGGUCCUUAUGAAGGGUAAAUAGGUUUGGCAUAUCAUCGUUGUGGCUGUCACGUAGGUAAGAAGGCGUUCUUGCUAGAAACCCAAAUCAGCCACGUAAAAACUUGCAACAACAAUUAGAGGACGUCUAACUUGUUUUUGCAGGGUUUGACAUGUGAUGUGAUAUGGCCAAAGUUGUGAUGUUGCAUGUGUGAUGUAUGAGAUGAUCAUGAUAUUGUAAUAGGAUUCACGACUUGCAUGUCGAUGAGUAUGACAACCGACAGGAGCCAUAGGAGUUGUCUUAAUUUAUUGUAUGAAAUGCAACGCCAUGUGUUUACUACUUUACUUCAUCGCUAACGGUUAGCUAUAGUAGUAGUGGUAGUAGUAGUUGGCGUAACGACUUCACGGAGACACGAUGAUGGAGAUCAUGGUGUCACGUCGGUGACAAUGAUGAUCAUGUGAUGCCUGAAGAUGGAGAUCGAAAGAGCAAAGAUGAUAAUGGUCAUAUCAUGUCACUAUAUGAUUGCAUGUGAUGUCUAUCAUGUUUUUCAUCUUAUUGCUUAGAACGACGGUAGCAUAAUAAGAUGAUCCCUCUUAAAAAUUUCGAGAACGUAUUCCCCUAAGUGUGCACCGUUGCAAAGGAUCGUUGUCUCGAAGCACCACGUGAUGAUCGGGUGUGAUAGGUUCUAACGUUCGCAUACAACGGGUGUAAGCCAGAUUUACACACGCGAAACACUUAGGUUGACUCGACGAUCUUAGCAUGUACAGACAUGACCUCGAAUACAAGAGACCGAAAGGUCGAACAUGAUUCGUAUGGUUGAAUGCGAUCAACAUGAAGUUGCUCACCAUGACGACUAGCUCGUCUCACGUGAUGAUCGGACACGGGUUAGUCAACAUAGAUCAUGUAUCACUUAGAGGACUAGAGGGAUGUUGAUUUAAGUGGGAGUUCAUACUUAAUUUGAUUAAAUGAAAUUAAUUGUCACGAACUUAGUCUAAAAGUUGUCUUUAUAAAUAUUGUAGAUGGCCAACGUCAACCUCAAUUUCAACGCAUUCCUAGAGAAAAACAAGCUAAAAGAUGAUGGUAGCAACUAUGCGGACUGGGUCCGCAACUUGAAGCUCAUCCUUGAAGCAGCUAAAAAGGCUUAUGUCCUUGAUGCGCCGCUAGGUGACCCUCCUGCUCCCGCAGCAGCCCAAGUCAUUCUGAAUGUCUGGCAAACGCGGAGUGAUGACUAUUCUCUGGUUAGGUGUGACAUGUUAUACAGUUUGGAAACGGGGCUCCAAAGGCGUUUUGAGCAACACGGUGCAUAUGAGAUGUUCCAAGAGCUGAAACUAGUUUUUCAAGCUCAUGCCCGUGUCGAGAGAUAUGAAGUAUCCGACAAGUUCUUUAGCUGUAAGAUGGAGGAAAACAGUUCUGUCAGUGAGCACAUACUCAAAAUGUCUGGGUUACACGGUCGUGUGACUUCACUUGGAGUCGAACUUUCGGAUGAUGCUAUAAUUGACAGAAUCCUCCAGUCUCUCCCACCAAGGUACAAAGGUUUUGUGCUGAACCACAACAUGCAAGGGAUGGAGAAGACCAUUCCCGAGUUGUACUCGAUGCUCAAGUCUGCAGAAGUAGAAAUCAAGAAAGAGCAUCAAGUGUUGAUGGUCAAUAAGGGCAAGGGUAAGAAGAACUUCAAGAAGGGUAAGGGUAAGAAGAACUUCAAGAAAGAUGGCAAAGCCAUUGCCGCGCCCGGUAAGCCAGAUACCGGGAAGAAGAAAAAGAAUGGACCCAAGCCUGAGACUGAGUGCUUCUAUUGCAAGGGAAAAUGUCACUGGAAGCGGAACUGCCCCAAGUACUUAGCGGACAAGAAGGCCGGCAACGUUAAAGAUAUAUAUGAUAUACAUGUUAUUGAUGUGUACCUUACCAACGCUCGUAGUAGCUCCUGGGUAUUUGAUACCGGUGCUGUUGCUCACAUUUGCAACUCAAAGCAGGAACUGCGGAAUAAGCGGAGACUGGCCAAGGACGAGGUGACGAUGCACGUCCGGAAUGGCUCCAAGGUCGAUGUGAUCGCUGUCGGCACGCUACCCCUACAUCUACCAUCGGGAUUGGUUUUAAACCUUAAUUAUUGUUAUUUAGUACCAGCUUUGAGCAUGAAUAUUGUAUCAGGGUCUUGCUUAAUGCGAGACGGCUACUCAUUUAAGUCAGAGAAUAAUGGUUGUUCUAUUUACAUGAGUGAUAUGUUUUAUGGUCAUGCUCCGCUGGUGAAUGGUUUAUUCUUGAUGAAUCUCGAUCGUGAUGUUACACAUAUUCACAGUGUGAGUACCAAAAGAUGUAAAGUUGAUAAUGAUAGUCGCACAUACUUGUGGCACUGCUGCCUUGGUCAUAUCGGUGUUAAGCGCAUGAAGAAGCUCCAUACUGAUGGACUAUUAGAGUCUCUUGACUUUGAAUCAUUUGACACAUGCGAACCGUGCCUCAUGGGCAAGAUGACUAAGACUUCAUUCUCAGGAAUAAUGGAGAGAGCGACCGACUUAUUGGAAAUAAUACAUAUUGAUGUGUGUGGUCCAAUGAAUGUUGAAGCUCGCGGCGGCUACCGUUAUAUUCUCACUCUCACUGAUGAUUUGAGUAGGUAUGGGUAUAUCUACUUGAUGAAGCACAAAUCUGAGACAUUUGAAAAGUUCAAGGAAUUUCAGAGUGAGGUUGAGAAUCAACGUGACAGAAAAAUUAAGUGUCUACGAUCUGAUCGUGGAGGAGAAUAUUUGAGUCACGAGUUUGGCACACACCUAAGGAAGUGUGAAAUCGUUUGACAACUGACGCCGCCUAGCACACCGCAAUGCAACGGAGUGUCUGAACAUCGUAAUCACACUUCAUUAGAUAUGGUACGAUCUAUGAUGUCUCUUACCGACUUACCGCUAUCAUUUUGGGGAUACGCAUUAGAAACUGCAGCAUUCACUUUAAAUAGGGCACCUUAUAAAUCUGUUGAGACGACACCGUAUGAACUGUGGUUUGGCAAGAAACCUAAGCUGUCGUUUCUUAAAGUUUGGGGCUGCGAUGCUUAUGUGAAGAAACUUCAACUAGAGAAGCUCGAACCCAAAGCGGAGAAAUGCGUGUUCACAGGAUACCCUAAGGAAACUAUUGGGUAUAUCUUCUAUCUUAGAUCCGAAGGUAAAACAUUUGUUGCCAAGAACGGAUCCUUUCUAGAGAAAGAGUUUCUCUCGAAAGAAGUAAGUGGGAGGAAGGUAGAACUUGAUGAGGUAAUUACACCCCCUCUCGAACAGGAUAGUAGCGCAGCGCGGGAAGUUGUUCCUGUGGCGCCUACACCGACUGAAGAGGAAGUUAAUGAUGAUGAUCAUGAAGCUUCGGAUCAAGUUGUUACUGAACCACGAAGGUCCACAAGGGUACGCUCCGCACCAGAGUGGUACGGCAACCCUGUGAUGGAAAUCAUGUUGUUAGACAAAGGUGAACCUUCGAACUAUGAAGAAGCGAUGGCGGGCCCGGAUUCCGACAAAUGGCUUGAGGCUAUGAAAUCCGAGAUAGGAUCCAUGUAUAAGAACAAAGUGUGGACUUUAGUGGACUUGCCCGAUGACCGGCAAGCCAUAGAAAAUAAAUGGAUCUUCAAGAANNNNNNNNNNNNNNNNNNNNNNNNNNNNNNNNNNNNNNNNNNNNNNNNNNNNNNNNNNNNNNNNNNNNNNNNNNNNNNNNNNNNNNNNNNNNNNNNNNNNCAAUUGCUCUUGUUUUACAAGAUGCAACGAAUUAUCUUAUCGGGGAUCCGUCCAUCAUCAGUUGUCAUGGGUUUCGAGAGUUCUUCGAAUUACUAUUUGAUCUUUCGGAAUCCCCUGUAGCCUAUUGCUUUUGACCUUCCUCACCUGCUUGCAUUAUGGAUAAAUCCAUAUGUGUAGCAGCAUUCAGUAAAAUCCUUUGUGAUUUUCCUCUGAUCUUAUUGAUUCAACCUCUGUGUGAAUGAACACAAUCAUUUGUUGAUACCCAUAAAUUAUCUUUUCGGCUCAGACGUCCUUCCACACAGAGCUGGAUCUCGACAAAGCAACUUUGAUUGACUGUCCAUCUAAGUCCCUUCAACUUACUUGUAGUUGAUCAGAGCAUCUGAUUAUGAUACACCAACCUGGAAAUCCUAAUUCCUUUGGUAAUUAAAUAUCAGCCUUUUUUAGAUGUUCUAUAAUCCGAUGCCUUGCGUUUUACCCCCUCUGAUUCAGUACCGAUACUCAGAUUAGAUCCUUUGUGGGUUGCCAGGACCAUUGCUUGGUUACUAACCGACGGCAUCCCUUUGCAUUCAAAAAUUCUUGUGAUAGUGUUCCACUGAUACAUAAUGUCAUUGGUAAAUUGUGUCUUCUCCCUCUUAUGAGUUGUACCCUACGCUUUUGUCAGCCAUGCCCUUCAAGCAUGUGUUAAUUGCUCUUGGAGUGUGUGGUAUAUGUUCCUAAGAUGCCCCGAUGGGUUGAACCUAUGCCUUCCUAAAUCAAUAUGACCCGAAGAGUUUUCACAAGUCUUGCUCUUCUGGUGUUUUUGCCGAAUGUUCUUUCAAAGGUACAACCUGAACAGAGACGAGGAAUAAAUGGCAUGUGAUACAUUGAUGAAGUGGGAGUCGACCUUGAACUUUGUGUUCAUCCCCAUGGAAACGACGUUGAUCCUAUCAUAGGAACUUCUCGUAUCAAUAAUCAUUCAUUAUGUGGUUUAAAUCUGGUAUAUGUGAUCUUGUCCGUUUACAAUCGUGAUUCCGACCACGUUGUCCUACCUUGAUUUCAUUCUCAGACGAGUUAAAGUACUUGUCUUCUUCAGAUCAAUACAUCGGUCCGAGCUUUAAUGUUGAUCGACCUCCGAGUAAUAUCCUUGUAGCUCAAGGAUAUCGGGAGCUAUGAAACUUCUUGUGAGCUCCUCAUCAACUAUGAUAUUUUCAUCAAUUCCAGCUUCCUCGUGUUUGAGUUGUUGGACACGCGAGUACAUCGACAACUGAAUCGAGUACGCAUUGCGAUUCAACAAAUUUUAGUAAUCUUCCUUGUUUACGAGUUUGUACUCAACCCUGUCAUUUCAAGCUAUUAAGCUACAUCAUCAUGGUCAUGUUGGAGCUCGACCAUGCUAUCUAUACCCUCCAUCCCUGGAACACAAUUCCAACUAUGCGUUAAGCGUGCAUCGAACUUUCCAAAUCAUGUUGAUUGUCCUGAAAGGCAAUCUCAAUUCUGAGCUAGCAGUCUUAUUGUGUUUUCGGCAGCCUGUAGCUUCAUCAUUCCCUUGCUUGAUGUCGUCGCUGAUUGAUUACAUCUUNNNNNNNNNNNNNNNNNNNNNNNNNNNNNNNNNNNNNNNNNNNNNNNNNNNNNNNNNNNNNNNNNNNNNNNNNNNNNNNNNNNNNNNNNNNNNNNNNNNNUCUGAUCAUGGGCAUUAGAUGUCAUUGAUAACGGGAUCACAUCAUUGGGAGAAUGAUGUGAUGGACAAGACCCAAUCCUAAGCAUAGCACUAGAUCGUAUUGUUCGUAUGCUAAAGCUUUUUUUAAUGUCAAGUGUCUUUUCCUUCGACCGUGAGAUUGUGCGACUCCCGGAUACCGUAGGAGUGCUUUGGGUGUAUCAAACGUCACAACGUAACUGGGUGACUAUAAAGGUGCACUACGGGUACCUCUGAAAGUGUCUGUUGGGUUGGUACCAAUCGAGAUCAGGAUUUGUCACUCCGUGUGACGGAGAGGUAUCUCUGGGCCCACUCGGUAGAACAUCAUCAUGAGCUCAAUGUGACUAAGGAGUUAGUCACAUGAUGACGUGCUACGGAACGAGUAAAGAGACUUACCGGUAACGAGAUUGAACAAGGUAUAGGUAUACCGACGAAUCUCGGGCAAGUUCUAUACCGACAGACAAAGGGAAUUGUACACGGGAUUGAUUGAAUCCUUGACAUCGUGGUUCAUCCGAUGAGAUCAUCGUGGAACAUGUGGGAGCCACCAUGGGUAUCCAGAUACCGCUGAUGGUUAUUGGUCGGAGAGUCUCUCGGUCAUGUCUGCAUGUCUCCCGAACCCGUAGGGUCUACACACUUAAGGUUCGAUGAUGCUAGGGUUAUAGGGAAUUGUUAUACGAGGUCAUCGAAGGAUGUUCGGAGUCCCGAAUGAGAUCCCGGACGUCACANNNNNNNNNNNNNNNNNNNNNNNNNNNNNNNNNNNNNNNNNNNNNNNNNNNNNNNNNNNNNNNNNNNNNNNNNNNNNNNNNNNNNNNNNNNNNNNNNNNNCAAGACUGAUGUAAACGGUAAUGUGACCCUUUAAUAAAGCUCGACUUGUCGCAAAGGGUUUUCGACAAAUUCAAGGAGUUGACUACGAAGAGACUUUCUAUGAUGUAGCGAAGCUGAAGUCAGUCCGAAUCAUGUUAGCAAUUGCCGCUCUUUAUGAUUAUGAAAUUGGGCAAAUGGACGUCAAAACAACGUUCCUUAACGGGAAUCUUAAGGAAGAGUUGUAUAUGAUGCAACCAGAAGGUUUUGUCGACCCUAUGGGUGCUAACAAAGUGUGCAAGCUCGAGCGCUCCAUCUAUGGGCUGGUGCAAGCAUCUCGGAGUUGGAACAUUCGCUUUAAUGAGGUGAUUAAAGCGUUUGGGUUCAUACAUGUUUAUGGAGAAGCCUGUCUGUACAAGAAAGUGAGUGGGAGCUCUGUAGCUUUCCUCAUACUGUAUGUAGAUGACAUAUUAUUGAUGGGGAAUAAUAUAGAGAUGUUGGAGAGCAUAAAGGCCUAUUUGAACAAGAGUUUUUCGAUGAAGGACCUUGGAGAAGCUGCAUACAUAUUAGGCAUCAAGAUCUAUAGAGAUAGAUCGAGACGCCUCAUAGGUCUUUCGCAAAGUACAUACCUUGACAAGAUAUUGAAGAAGUUCAAUAUGGAAAACUCAAAGAAGGGGUUCUUGCCAGUUUUGCAAGGUAUGAGAUUGAGUAAGACUCAGUCACCGACCACGACAGCAGAUAGAGAGAAGAUGAGUACUGUCCCCUACGCUUCAGCAGUAGGCUCUCUAAUGUAUGCCAUGUUGUGUAUCAGACCUGAUAUAAACCUUGCCAUAAGUUUGGUAGGGAGGUAUAAUGGAGAGAGCAACCGACUUAUUGGAAAUAAUACAUACUGAUGUGUGUGGUCCAAUGAACGUUGAAGCUCGCGGUGGCUAUCGUUAUGUUCUCACUCUCAACGAUGAUUUGAGUAGGCAUGGGUAUAUCUACUUGAUGAAGCACAAAUCUGAGACAUUUGAAAAGUUCAAGGAAUUUCAGAGUGAGGUCGAGAAUCAACGUGACAGAAAAAUCAAGUGUCUACGAUCUGAUCGUGGAGGAGAAUAUUUGAGUCACGAGUUUGGCACACACCUAAGGAAGUGUGGAAUCGUUUCACAACUGACGCCGCCUGGCACACCGCAACGCAACGGAGUGUCUGAGCGUCGUAAUCGCACUUUAUUAGAUAUGGUACGAUCUAUGAUGUCUCUUACCGACUUACCACUAUCAUUUUGGGGAUACGCAUUAGAAACUGCAGCAUUCACUUUAAAUAGGGCACCGUCUAAAUCCGUUGAGACGACACCGUAUGAACUAUGGUUUGGCAAGAAACCUAAGUUGUCGUUUCUUAAAGUUUGGGGCUGCGAUGCUUAUGUGAAGAAACUUCAACCAGAAAAGCUCGAACCCAAAGCGGAGAAAUGCGUAUUCAUAGGAUACCCUAAGGAAACUAUUGGGUAUACCUUCUAUCUUAGAUCCGAAGGUAAAACCUUUGUUGCCAAGAACAGAUCCUUUCUAGAGAAAGAGUUUCUCUCGAAAGAAGUAAGUGGGAGGAAGGUAGAACUUGAUGAGGUAAUUACACCCCCUCUCGAACAGGAUAGUAGCGCAGCGCGGGAAGUUGUUCCUGUGGCGCCUACACCGACUGAAGAGGAAGUUAAUGAUGAUGAUCAUGAAGCUUCUGAUCAAGUUACUACUGAACCGCGAAGGUCCACAAGGGCACGCUCCGCACCAGAGUGGUACGGCAACCCUGUGAUGGAAAUCAUGUUGUUAGACAAAGGUGAACCUUCGAACUAUGAAGAAGCGAUGGCGGGCCCGGAUUCCGACAAAUGGCUUGAGGCUAUGAAAUCCGAGAUAGGAUCCAUGUAUGAGAACAAAGUAUGGACUUUAGUGGACUUGCCCGAUGACCGGCGAGCCAUAGAAAAUAAAUGGAUCUUCAAGAAGAAGACUGAUGCAAACGGUAAUGUAACCGUUUACAAAGCUCGACUUGUCGCAAAGGGUUUUCGACAAAUUCAAGGAGUUGACUACAAAGAGACUUUCUCUCCCGCAGCGAAGCUGAAAUCAGUCCGAAUCAUGUUAGCAAUUGCCGCCUUUUAUGAUUAUGAAAUUUGGCAAAUGGACGUCAAAACAGCGUUCCUUAACGGGAACCUUAAGGAAGAGUUGUAUAUGAUGCAACCAGAAGGUUUUGUCGACCCUAAGGGUGCUAACAAAGUGUGCAAGCUCCAGCGCUCCAUCUAUGGGCUGGUGCAAGCAUCUCGGAGUUGGAACAUUCGCUUUAAUGAGGUGAUUAAAGCGUUUGGGUUCAUACAGGUUUACGGAGAAGCCUGUCUGUACAAGAAAGUGAGUGGGAGCUCUGUAGCUUUCCUCAUACUGUAUGUGGAUGACAUAUUAUUGAUGGGGAAUAAUAUAGACAUGUUGGAGAGCAUAAAGGCCUAUUUGAACAAAAGUUUUUCGAUGAAGGACCUUUGAGAAGUUGCAUACAUCUUAGGCAUCAAGAUCUAUAGAGAUAGAUCAAGACGCCUCAUAGGUCUUUCGCAAAGUACAUACCUUGACAAGAUAUUGAAGAAGUUCAAUAUGGAAAACUCAAAGAAAGGGUUCUUGCCAGUUUUGCAAGGUGUGAGAUUGAGUAAGACUCAGUCGCCGACCACGACAGCAGAUAGAGAGAAGAUGAGUUCUGUCCCCUACGCAUCAGCCAUGGUCUCUCUAAUGUAUGCCAUGCUGUGUACCAGACCUGAUAUAAACCUUGCCAUAAGCUUGGUAGGGAGGUACCAAAGUGAUCCCGGUAUGGAACACUGGACAGCGUUCAAGAAUAUCCUUAAGUACAUGAAGAGGACUAAGGAGAUGUUUGUCGUUUAUGGAGGUGACGAAGAGCUCGUCGUAAAGGGUUACGUCGAUGCUAGCUUCGACACAGAUCCGGAUGACUCUAAGUCACAAACCGGAUACCUGUAUGUUUUGAAUGGUGGGGCAGUGAGCUGGUGCACCAGCAAGCAAGAAGUCAUGGCAACAUCUACAUGUGAAGCGGAGUACAUAGCUGCUUCAGAAGCGUCUCAUGAAGGAAUUUGGAUGAAGGAGCUUAUCACCGACCUUGGAGUGGUUCCAAGCGCGUCGGGUCCAAUGACACUCUUCUGUGAUAACACUGGGCCAUUGCCAUAGCCAAGGAGCCCAAGUUUCACCAGAAGACCAAGCCAUCAAACGCUGCUACAACUCCAUCCAGGACCAUGUCCAGAGUGGAGUAAUAGAUAUUUGUAAAGUACACACGGAUCUGAAUGUUGCAGACCCAUUGACUAAACCUCUUCCUCGAGCAAAACUUGAUCAACACCAUAAUGCUAUGGGUGUUCGAUACAUCACAAUGUAACUAGAUUAUUGACUCUAGUGCAAGUGGGAGAAUGUUGGAAAUAUGCCCUAGAGGCAAUAAUAAAAUGGUUAUUAUCAUAUUUCCUUGUUCAUGAUAAUCAUCUAUUGUUCAUGCUAUAACUGUAUUAACAGGAAACAGUAAUACAUGUGUGAAUACAUAGAUCACAAUGUGUCCCUAGCAAGCCUCUAGUUGGCUAGCUCGUUGAUCAAUAGAUGACCAUGGUUUCCUGAUCAUGGGCAUUAGAUGUCAUUGAUAACGGGAUCACAUCAUUGGGAGAAUGAUGUGAUGGACAAGACCCAAUCCUAAGCAUAGCACUAAAUCGUAUUGUUCGUAUGCUAAAGCUUUUCUAAUGUCAAGUGUCUUUUCCUUCGACCGUGAGAUUGUGCAACUCCCGGAUACCGUAGGNGGAAAUGGUCCCGGGGGUUCACCGGGAGGGGCCACCAGCCCCAAGAGGCAGCGUGGGCCAAAAGGUGGAGGGAAACCAGCCCAAAGUGGGCUAGUGCACCUCCCACAUAGAGGGGGCAAACCCUAGGCGCUGGUGGGCCUAAGGCCCACCUAGGGGUGCGCCACCCCCGCCCCUGCCCUGGCCACCGCACCUCCCAUAUGGAGGGGCUGCCGCACCACCUAGGGUGGGAACCCUAGGGGUGGCACCCCCUCCCCUCCUCCUAUAUAUAGAGAGGGUUUUGGGGCUGUUUUGCACACAGUUUUCCCUCUCCCUUGGCGCAGCCGUGCUCCCCUCCUUCCUCCUCUCCCACGGUGCUUGGCAAAGCCGUGCCCGGAGACCUCGUCCUUCCAUCGACACCACGCCGUCGUGCUGCCGGAGAUCUUCCCCAACCUCUCCCUCCUCCUUGCUGGAUCAAGGUGUGGGAGACGUCACCGGGCUGCACGUGUGUUGAACGCGGAGGUGCCGUGGUUCGACACUAGAUCAGAAUCACACCGCGAUCUGAAUCGCCGCGAGUACGACUCCAUCAACCGCGUUCCAGCAACGCUUCCACUUAGCGAUCUUCAGAGGUAUGAAGAUGCACUCACCCUUCUCUCGUUGCUGGUCUCUCCAUAGGAAGAUGUGAAUAUGGCGUAGGAAAAUUUUGAAUUUAUGCUACGUUACCAAAAAUUUGUCGGACGUUUUCGGUGUUUAAAACAUCAAGUCACGGGCCGCAAACAUUCCCUCUCUUCCCCACCUAGCCUAUCUAACGCAGCCCACCAAAAACCACCUCUCCGAUCGGACCGUCCGAUCGCGAUCGGAGGAUCGAAAACACCUGAAAACUCCUGUUGACACCUGAUUUUGGCAUGAUGCAAAACAGUAAAGAUGGACUCAAACGAGAAGGUUUUUUAUACGAGAAAGUUCAUAUUGCCGAGUGAAACAACCUUGAUGUUUAGGCUGUCGACAUUCAGUGUCAUUACGAGGGCCAAAUUACACUUGGAUUGUCAUGAUUGGAUGUUCUGAGUGCCUUUUUGGUCGAUUACGCUUACAAGAUAACCUCGGAUGAAGGAAUGCUCUACAUGGAUUGUCUUUGUCUCGUAGAAUCGGUCGAUUCUAAAUCUAAGGUCAUAUGCAGCCUGCAGAGGCGAAACGAUCUCAGGCUGUAUUUCUGUUCGGGAAAUCCGAGUGAAAAGCUUAUCAUCCGAGUGAAAAUAUAGCUAUCCGAGUGAAGGCUUGAUGACCGAGUGAAAAGGUUUCCAAAUGCGAGUGCAGCUUCGGUCAAGGAGUCCAGAUACAUGAAUUCCGAGUGGAUUUUUUAUCCGAGUGAAGGCUUGAUGACCGAGUGAAAAGGUUUCCAAAUGCGAGUGGAGCUUCGGUCAAGGAGUCCUGAUACAUGAAUUCCGAGUAGAAAAAUUGUUGUCCGAGUGAAAAUCACUCGACCGACUAAAGGGCUCCAAAUCCAAGUGAAUCAACCAGAAGGUAAAGAUUGGCCUGCAUGCUCAACUUUGCUUUUAAGGCCAUUAUCAUCUCAGGUAGCACACAACCUGUAGGAAUGCUACAACGCUCGGACGGUCCAGUCCGCUACAUGACCGAGGCUGAUUCAAAGUUAAAGAUGACCUCGUGGAGUAUUCGAGAUGGCUUUAUUUGGGAAAGUGAUCAACAUACGGAUUGUUGGCCUCAUUGAGGUGCACAAAAUUGGUGUUUGGAUCGUCUCCAUCAGAGAUCAUAUGCAGAUUCCACGGCCCACGCAAGGAGCAAGACAGAAGAUUGAGCCAGAUUUGGGUUGAAUUCGAAUUAUACUAGAAUUAGGACUCUAGGACGUGAUGUGCUGUAAUUUUCUUGUAAGGAAAGCUUAGAUGAGUCCUUUGCUUAUACGGGAAGUCCAGCCGACUCUUAUAUAUAUUGGGGGUGAGGGUCGAUUGAAACAACACACAAUCAGAACAUCAAUAUACUACUUUUCAUCUACAUUUUAUCUCUCCAUCGUAUUUUAUCUCUCGUUCUUCGUUGUUCCUUGAGUUUGAGAGUUGCGAAUCCCGAGGCUCUAGGGGCGAGUGAAUCGACCUAGAGAAGCCCAUAGCCGCCGCACUCCCUGACGGGGUCCCUCCCGGGCGUGUGGGGCUUCAUGUCCUCAAAAGCACUUGCCGACUGUCUUGCGCAUUGCUCUGUCGGUCGGGGCACCUUCGACGUGAACUGCGGUGCAUCACCCCCGGCGUCAAGGGUACACAUGACGUGUUCGUGUGUCAACACACUUUUUGGCGACUCCGCUGGGGAACGGAAGAUCAACCAUCAUCAUCAACCAUCAUGUCUGAUCUGCCCAACCCAUCUGAGGUAAACGCCAAUAAUAUCAUUAAACCCAAGCUUGAUGAACUAUCGGCCGAUCAUCGUCAAGCCUAUGAGGAGUACAAGAAGCCACGCGAGGAGAAGGAGUUGCAGGAGUUCCUUGCAAACUUCAAGAAGGAUCGCCAAGGCAAUAUCACUCCGAUUGGAGAAAUCAAGUUCCCUCAUCUUCAAGCCGAGCAGGUUAAACCCCCUGUGAGUACUACCUUUUCGCCUGAGCAAUGGGCUGAGAUUGAGAGUCGUAUUGCCGAUGGUAACAAUCUGGUCUAUCAAUCUUUUUUGGAAAAUACCAUUGCUCAGAAAAAUAUGCCUCAAUCAUCUGCUCAUAAUGUUGGUAUGCCGAGUAGUGCAGAAAACCAUAAUUUGUCUUUACCUAUUGCAUCGACACCUACCAUGCCGAUGAAUUAUUAUCCUACUCAAACAAACCAUAUUAUGGCUGCACCCAUUAGUCCUAUCAUGAGCAUACCAAGUUCGGUGGCAACACCGAGCCAAGCGAUACCUGUAGGUGCAAACGUUGCUAGGCCAUUGCCGAACUAUGGUUCGGCAUAUAUACCACAGUUCCUACCUGCGCUAGUAAUCCUACUCCUCCUAUGCCACUGCAGCGAACUUCAUCGUCCAAUACGGACGAUGCUCUAGCUAAUUUCAGAGAGGAGAUGGCUAAAAUGCUUCGAGAAAAUUUGGUGUUGAAUUACCUAGGAAUCGGAUUUAUCAAAAACCGCAUCCUGAGUACUUCGAUGCAAUACAGUGCCCUCCAGGAUAUAAAAUCCCAGAUUUUGUUUAAUUUAAUGGAGAAGGCACGAAAACCAGAUGUGAGCAUGUUAGUCAAUACUUAGCCCAGUUAGGUGAAGCAGGUUCACGGAAUGAAUUGAAAGUGCGUUUGUUUCCUUCGUCCUUAACUGGUACUGUAUUUUCAUGGUUUUCUUCCUUACCACAUGGCUCUAUCCGUGUAUGGUCGCAGCUAGAGCAGAAAUUUCAUGAUCAUUUUUAUAGCGGCGACAAUGAACUUAAGUUAUUGCAUCUUACACCGGUUAAACAGAAGCAUGAUGAAUCGGUCUCCGAUUACGUCAAGAGAUUUAGAGAUACAAAAAACUGGUGUUAUAGUUUGGUGAUAACCGAGAGAGACUUAGCAGAUCUUGUGCUUAAUGGUUUGAAAAUUCACAUAAGAGAAAAGCUAGAAGGCUAUGAAUUUUUAAGUAUCAACCAAGUCUUGCAACGGGCUUUGGCUCAGUAAAGCCGAAGUAAAGAUCUUAAAGAGGUGCAUAGAUAUAAAGCUGAUCGUCCAAAGGUGAAUAUGGUUGAAUAUGAUAGUGAUCACUGAGACGAUAAGGGUGACAUCUAUGCUACUGAAUUUGUUUGGCCAUCCAAGACCAAACCAUUUACUUACAAUGAUCUGAAACCAAUUCAUAAGAAUCGUGAUGAAGAGAUGAAGUUCACCUUUAACAUUGCUAAGUGUGAAAAGAUAUUUGAUGCUUUGCUGCAAGCUAAGAUUAUUAGAAUAUCUCAUACUUCACCGCGGUUUGAAGAGCUGAAACGGCGUGCUUAUUGCAAGUAUCAUAAUUCUUUUUCUCAUGCUACUAACGAUUGCAAUGUUUUUCGACAACAGAUACAAACGGCCAUUAAUGACGAACGAUUGAACUUUUCUGAGAUGCAAGUUGAUAAACAGCCUUUUCCUAUGAACACCAUAGAUUUGGAGGGGAAGAAGGUGGUCAUUCGGCCGGAGGUAGCCGAAUCUGCUAAUAAGUCCGAUGUUGUCAUAGGUGAGCCCAGGAAAAGCAAGGAGAGCGACAACAUCUUGAGGAGACAAGUUAUGCUUGACAAACAGCCCGGUGGCAAGGAGAUAAUUAAGAUCACCGUUAGUAAUCCUACACUCGGGGGCAACCACAAGUACAAGGGAACACUCAUGUCAAGUUUGUUAAGCCCAAGAGUCCAGAAGUUGGCAGGUGGAAGAGGAAUGAAGGCAAGGUACAUUGUAAGUGGAUCAAGCCAAAUUUUGACAUGUUAUUGUCCAAGUAUGCCAAUCAAUCGACCGGUUCUAUCUCUAAUCGGUCAUCGUACCUGAAGCGAUCAAGGUCACCAUCAGCUGACAUGUUUAGUCGGUAUGCAAAACCGACUGGAUCGAGGGUACCGUUUCUACAAGGACAACGACAGCCUGUUUGGGAUCGACUUGGAUGCUCAUAUGAAAACCGACUGAAUAUUGGUGUCCAUCGCUCGCUUGGUCAAAAUAUGCCUCCGAGUGUAAGAAUGCACCCGGAUGAAAGUUAUCUGAACGAAAGAAUACGUCCGAGUGAAUUCUACUCCGUUGAACGUUUGAGUGGAUUUCAUCCGAGUAAAAGGGUGCGCCUGAGUGAAAAUUUCGUAGGCCAGAAAACUCAACAAGAGUGGCAUGUCAAGUUGCCAAGUGCUGCAGCAAUGGAGUCUGGAAAAGGCAAGGAAAAAAGUCAAUACCGACUCACUCAUCUUGGGAGACAAAACAUUCACUAUACAACAGCCGAGUGUACACAACAAUCCGACUGAGCCAAUACUCGCCAUCGCGCCAAAACAUUCAGCGAAUGAUCAUAAGGCAAGUACUAGCCAAGCCAAGCCACGAUUUCCUAGAUACACUCAACCGAAGUGGUGUCCUCCAGGGCUAACGAAAACACAAAAGAGGAAACUACAGACGUUAAGGAAUCAAGAGGUGGCAGAAUGAGAGGCCGAGAAACAAAGAGAUAAAUUGUUCAAUAAUACUCGGCCCAUGGUGCCUACAAAACAAGUAUGGAAGCCUAAACCAAUGCAAGAUGCAGCGGCUUCUACACCUAUCACAACAACACCUAUACCACUAACGGAGGACGGUGCAGCCGCUACUACAUCGUCCACUUCACCGUUUACUACUUCUUCACUUGGAGAUAUUUCGGAGUCAGUGGACAUGCUUGAGGAUGGAGAUGAUGUUUUGGACUAUGAGCCUACACCAGUUCAUGAAGGUAUGGAUAUCAAUAUGGUGUACUAUCUACCCCCUGAGUUUCGUGCCGUGGAUGAAGAAGGGGAAGUGUCUCAACUGGAUUUUGGCCCUAAAAAUGCAACAUUCGAGAAGCCAAAAGAGCCAGUGACGCACUUGGAGCCAUUGUAUCUCAGAGGUCAAAUUAAUGGAUCACCACUCACUCGGAUGCUUGUUAAUGGUGGUGCUGUGGUGAAUCUCAUGCCCUAUUCGUUCUUCGGGAAAUUGGGUUUUCCCGAUGAUGAAUUAAUCAAGAACAAUAUGGUGCUCAAUGGGUUUGAAGCCAAAGAAAAAAUUGAAGCCAAAGGUGUGAUGUACGUGGAGCUUAUAGUCAGAAGUAAAACUUUGGCUGCUGCAUUCUUUGUCGCCGAGGUGCAAGGUAAUUACAACGUGAUUUUAGGACGCGAUUGGGUUCAUGCAAACCAGUGCGUGCCAUCUACUAUGCAUGAGUUCUUAAUUCAGUGGGUUGACGAUGAAGUGGAAGUCAUUCAUGCAGAUAAGUCGGCUUGUGUUGCUUUGGCCGAUGCAUCAGUGGAUUGGCAACAUCCCAAUGCUACUUGCUUGACAGGGCGCGACAUAUCAGAGUUUGAUUUUCUCAGCGCUACAAAGAGUGUUUUUGUGCUAGUUUAUUUAAAGCCGGUUGGAGGCAAUCAACUCCAAGGUAUGAUAUGUUUAAAUGGAUUCAAAUUCCGAGUGGUUACAUUAGCGUCUUGAAAAAUAUCGGUCUAGUGAGAACGAUAUGUAUGAGUCUAUACAGGAGUUAGAUGACAUGGAUAAAUUAGGACAAGGUUUUACGUCGGCCGAUCCAUUAGAAGAGAUAGAUAUAGGAGAUGGUUCAGUCACUCGGCUGACUUUUGUAAACAAGAAUUUGAGAGCCGAUCGUAAGGCUGAGUUGAUCGGGCUAUUGAAAGAAUAUGUUUGUUGCUUUGCGUGGGAAUAUCAUGAGAUGCCAGGUUUAAGCCGAGAGCUAGUAGAGCAUCGGUUACCUAUAAAGGCCGGUUUUAGACCUUACAAAAUAUCGGCCAGAAAGUUUAACCCAAGAACGUAUGACCGAAUCAAGGAGGAGAUCAGUCAUUUACUAAAAGCUAAUUUUAUUAGACCUUGCAGGUAUGCUGAGUGGAUUUCUAACAUUGUACCAGUGGAGAAGAAGGGGCCGGGCAAGUUAAGAGUGUGCAUUGAUUUCAGAGAUUUAAAUAGGGCUACACCAAAAGAUGAGUAUCCCAUGCCAAUAGCCGACAUGCUUAUUAAUGAUGCUUCUGGACAUAAGGUUCUUAGCUUUCUUGAUGGUAAUGCGGGUUACAAUCAGUUUUUUAUGGCCGAAUAGGGCAUGUCCAAGACGACAUUUCGUUGCCCUGGUUUCCUUGGUCUAUUCGAGCACACAGUGAUGACAUUCGGGUUAAAAAAUGCUGGUGCCACAUAUCAAAGGGCUAUGAAUUUAAUUUUCCAUGAUUUACUCGGUAUUAUACUUGAAGUCUAUAUUGAUGAUUUUGUUGUCAAAUCGGAUGCUUUUAGAUCUCAUUUGGCCGAUUUGCGUUUGGCAUGUGAAGGAAUGAAAAAAUACAGACUGAAGAUGAAUCCUUUGAAGUGUGCAUUCGACGUGUUAGCUGGAAAGUUUUUUGGUUUUAUUAUUCAUGAGCACGGCAUAGAAAUUGAUCCAAAAAAGAUAGGAGCUAUACAAAAGGUGGAGGCUCCAGCAUGCAAGAGAGAUAUGCAAAAAAAUCCUUGGCAAGGUCAAUUAUUUGAGAUGGUUCAUAGCUAGUUUGUGAGGGAAGGUUAAUGCAUUCACUCCUAUCCUUCGGUUAAAGAAUGAUGCUGAUUUUACUUGGGGGGCAAAACAGCAAGAAGCAUUCGAAAUGAUCAAGACUUAUUUAAGCACUCCCCCGGUGAUGAAAGCACCCAAAUAUAAAGAGCCCUUUAGGCUUUACAUUGCAGCGGAGGAAGGUGUUAUUGGCGCUGUUUUGACUCAAGAGACCGAAGGAAAAGAACAUGCUAUUACAUAUUUGAGUACACGUUUAUUAGACGUCGAGACAAGGUACACCUUUAUUAAAAAAUUAUGCCUUUGUUUAUAUUACGCUUGCACAAAACUAAGACCUUACUUAGUGUCGAGUGCUUGCAUAAUAGCUUGUCAAACCGAUGCCAUUAAAUAUAUGUUGCAUAGGCCAAUUCUUAGUGGUAGAAUUGGAAAGUGGGCUUAUGCUUUGAUUGAAUAUGAUUUGGCCUAUGAAUCUUUAAAAUCCAUGAAAGGCCAAAUAGUUGCUGAUUUCAUUGUUGAGCAUCAGGUUAAUGACAAACACGAUGUUGAUGUAAACAUUGUCUCGGUAGUACCGUGGAGAUUAUAUUUUGAUGGUUUAGUAUGUAGCAAUGGCCAAGGUGUUGGUAUUGUUUAUAUAUCUCCCCAUGGUGCUGUUUUUGAAGCCUCGUGUCGAUUAGAGUAUUUUUUCACAAAUAAUCAAGACAAAUAUGAAGCACUGUUAUUCGGCCUAGAAAUGUUGUUAGCUAUAGGCGCUACACAUAUUGAGGAUUUUGGUGAUUCGUUAUUAGUGGUACAACAAAUAUCCAGAGUUUUUCAAUGUAUUGAUGAAUCACUUAAUAUUUAUCUUGACAAAUGUCUAGAUAUAAUUUCUGCUUUGGAUUAUUUUAGCAUUGCUCAUAUAUCUAGACAUGACAAUUGGAGAGCGAACGAUUUGGCAGAACAAGCAUCCGGCUACCAUGUUGAUCAUGGCAUGUUUCAUGUUUCUAAAAAGCUGAUGUAUAGCUUUGCCAGUAUGAGAGAGGCCGAACCAGGACAUACAACUUCGGCCACUAACAAAAAAAUCUAGUACAAAUGAAAAUCUAGACUGGAGGAAGCCCAUUAUUGAUUACUUGUGUGAUCCGAGUGAAAGGGUGGAUAGGGUUGUUCGGCGUAUAGCUUUCAAAUAUGUGAUGAGGGAUAAUGAACUUUAUUGCCGAACAGUUGAUGAUAUUCUUUUGAAGUGCUUGGACAAAGACAAAGCUAGAAUUGCUAUGGAAGAGGGACAUGAAGGUAUUCGUGGAACUCAUCAGUCGGCUCCCAAGAUGAAGUGGUUGUUGCGACGUGCUGAGUUUAAUGGCCGAUGAUGAUUAAUGAUUGCUUCAGAUAUUAUAAAGGAUGUGAAGCUUGUCAGAAAUUUGGUGAUAUUCAGUUGGCUCCUGCUGCUAUGUUACAUUCUAUUAUCAAGCCGUGGCCUUUUAGAGGAUCGGGUUCAUACUUCAUUGGGCAAAUUCAUCCAUCUUCUUCAAAGGGGGAUCGGUUCGUGUUGGUGGCAACCAAUUAUUUCACUAAAUGGUCUGAAGCAGUACCUAUCAAGAACAUGACACAUACAGAGGUAAUUCAACUCAUAACCGAACACAUUAUUCAUAGGUUCGGCAUUUCUCACACGUUAACUACAGAUCAAGGUUCGUCUUUCAUGUCAUAUCAAGUUAGAGAAUUUGAUGAAUCAUACAACAUAAAAUUGCUCAAUUCGUCUCCAUAUUAUGCCCAAGCUAUUGGACAAGCUGAGUGUCACGCCCAAGAUGCGACCCUAUCCUCAAUUUGGCACGAAGGCCUCGUCAGGGAUAGAAGCGCAUCUCGUCGUGUCGCAAGAAUGGAUAUCAUUAGAAGUACAUGUACUGAAAAGAAGAUAUAUAUAUAUAUAUAUAUAUAUAGGAUUGGCUUACACUCGCCACAUGCUACAUCAGAGUCACAACAGUACAAUACAUAUUCAUCAAGAGUAAGAGCAGGGUCCGACUACGGACGAAAACAAACAACAAAAGAAGAACGACGUCCAUCCUUGCUAUCCCAGGCUGCCGGCCUGGAACCCAUCCUAGAUCGAUGAUGAAGAAGAAGAAGAAUCAACUCCAAAUGAACAAUCAACGCGCUCGCGUCAAAUAACCUUUACCUGUACCUGCAACUGGUGUUGUAGUAAUCUGUGAGCCACAGGGGACUCAGCAAUCUCAUUUCCAAAGGUAUCAAGACUAGCAAAGCUUAAUGGGUGAGACAUGGUUAAGUGGUGAGGUUGCAUCAGCGGCUAAGCAUAUAUUUGAUGGCUAAACUUACGAAUACCAGAAAUAAGAGGGGGAAGAUCUACGCAUAGCGGACGUGAACUACUGUUGAUCAAAUAAAUGAUCCUGAACACCUACCUACGUCAGACAUAACCCCACCGUGUCCUCGAUCGGAGAAGGAACUCACGAAAGAGACAGUCACGCUUACGCACACAGUUGACAUGUUUUAAUUAAGUUAACUUCAGGUUAUCUAGAACCAGUGUUAAACAAAGUUUCCACGUUGCCACAUAACCGCGGGCACGACUUUCCGAAAAGAUUUAACCCUGCAUGGGUGCUCCAACUAGUCCAUCACAAAUUACCACAAGCCGCAUAGAAAUCCUCAAUCACGAAGCUCGCGAUCUCGUCAGAUUCCCUAGUGGAAAACCUCAACUCUGAGAUUACCCAAAGCAUCACCGGAAUCCCGAUGCACAAGAUAUUUCGUCAAAGGUAAAACUAAUCCAGCAAGGCCGCCCGACGUGUCGACGAACCCGAUAGGAGCCGCGUAUCUCGUUCUGAGGACACGGCGGAUGGAAAAGCCUACAGGUGCCAAACCUCGAGUUGCCCCGUGGUGGCCCCGCAGUCUGUCCUUUUUGGACCAACACUCAUGAGGAGCACUGGCCCGGGGGUUGAUUAAAUUAUCCUCGGGGUCCGGAAAGUCCCUAUGCAAUUUUAUUAGGUGAUGAGGCAAAUGUAGUACCAAAGUUGGGCCUUGCCAGACCAGCUUUAAUCUAAAACGAAUUAUCAAGGGGGUCCCCAUAACAACCCCGAUCGUGUUAGGAGCACUCAAUUAUGGAACAUAACACCGGUAGCCGAAACUAAGGAGGCAAAGGUGGAACAAAACACCAGGCUAGAAAGGCCGAGCCUUCCACCUUUUACCAAGUAUAUAGGUGCAUUAAAUUAAAUUGCAUUUAAAUAUGGUGAUAUGACAAGGAACCCAUGUUAUCACAUGGAAGCAUCUGCACCUGCAACUAGCAACGCUAACAACAUGGUUAAGCAAGCGGUAACAUAGCCAAUCAGUGGUUUGCUAGGUCGAACAUGUUGAAGGUUAACAUGGCAUUGUUGAGAGGCUGAUAUUUAACAUGUGGUAGGCAACGAGACAUAACGAUAGAAGCGGUAAAACUAGCAUGGCAAUGAUAGUAAUGGUAUCUGGGGAAAUGGUCAUCUUGCCUGAGAUCCCGCUUGGAAGAAGAAUGCCUCCGUGAAGCAGACGAACCGACGUAGUCAAACGGGUCCUCACAUCUGACACGCUUGCGGAACUCUAACGAGACGGAGGAAACCGGAAACAAUCAUCAACACAGAUAUACACCACACGAUGCAAGACACAUAUGAUGCAUGAACGAUCUAAUGCAAGGCAUGACAAUUCACACAAUCAAACACUACACAUUAAGUGAAGUUCAAUAUGCAACGAGUUGCAUAUUGACGAAACUCCACGUUUAUUUAUUUAGUUCUAUCCCGAUUAGAUGCACGGCAAUAUUAAAUGUUAUUAAACAUGUCAAGAGGUGAAGCGUAAUUAAUCUACCUAUCUAGGCAUUUUAAAUGAGGUCAGAAAUGACAUAUAGCAUCUCCGAAACGACCUCACAUGUUAAUUUACAAUUCUGUCCAGAUCUGAACUAACACAUUUAAUUAGUUGUUAAACACCAAAACAAAUAGGUUCACGUGAUUCUACGUGUUGUUACAAGCAAUUUACACAUAGAGAACAUCUCCAACGGAGCUACGGUUCAAAAGAUACAAGCACCGCAAGAUAUGAUGGCAUGAAUGCAAUAUGUGUGCAACGACGGUCACGAGCACUUCAAAAUCGUACAACCAGCAAGAGAAAAAUGAAACUACACGAGAUUCUAAGCAAGUUUCAUAUAGGACACGAUCAAAUCGGAGCUACGGUUCAACAACUACGAGCAAAACAAGAAAUCACUACAAUCUGCCCAAAAUCAGCCACAUAGCAUUUUCUACACCCCACAACUACGAGCUACACAACUCGAAUAUAAUCAAUCAAGGCAUGGCGCGAAAGAGGGCAAGAAGCACUACAACAAACAACUAACAACAAAUAGCAUGGCAUCAGGGAACACUAAGAAAAGAAGACACAAAAUGGCAUCUCACACACUAUUUCAGACUUAGUGAAAAUAAUACUUCAUGAAAGUGCAGUUUUCGAUCUGAAGCCAUAUUGACAGCAGCAAAACCAUAAGCUACAGGACUCCAAAUGGCAUGAAAAUUCAAAGCAUGCUAGAGAAGCACAAGGGCUACAACUAACUCCAUUGGACCAACCUCAAAAGAGCUACAGAUCACAAGAUACAAACAAGACAAGACAACAACAAAAUACAACAGAUCUCAGACUUACAAAUAUUUCAGCACCUCCAAAUCAGCACUAUUUCUAGCAACUUGAGAGCAAGCAAACUACACCUAAACAUGUAUUUCUAUUGCAACCAAAAAUACCAGGGGCUAGACUAAACAUCUAAGAACAACUCUCUAGUUGACAACUCUGUCAAACGAAGCCCGAAAUAAAUCCUACGAAAAAGUCAAGAGGGCAACAUGGAAAAAUAUCGCGCGAGCUAACUUACUCAAAAGCUAAAACUAAUUGCACAGAAAAAUCCCAUGGAUUUUUCUACCCCGAAAAUAUAUAAAACAUGUGGGGUUGCUACACAAAAAUAAAGCCACACGUAAAUGCGAGAUAAUUAUCUAAACGCAAAAAAUAAACUAGCGGCAAUCCCUACACGCAAAAAUACCAAAGACUACUCUAAAAUUCAUGGAAAAGGUGUUCUUAAAAUAUGGACAUUUAACCUACGGCAUACGAGCAAUCCGGCCACGCACGAAAAUUAAACACGGGCAAUAUCCUAUUGGGACAACACGUAAAACUAUGCAUUUGGCACGCUAUACGACGUCAAACAAAUAUACAAGUUGUGAAAUCGUAUUCUACGCGAGAAACUACAUGAAAACCAUAUCUAAUUCAUCGCGAUCCGACAUACGGAUAAAAAGAAAAACGCGUUUUAAUAUCUAGCAAUAUCUGAAAAUACUAAUUCCGAGAAAAUCCUAAAAGCUACGGGCCGAAACUAAGAGGGCGCAACUUAGUAAAAACUCGCCACGGGCGGGGGGAUAGGCUCACCUUGGGGCCUCUUGGGCCGGUUGGUGGAGAGGCUGGACAGGCCGGCUGCGGCUCGGCCAGCGGGGCGGAGAUGGGCAGGCGCCUGGCCUGGACCGAAACGGCGCGUGGCUGGCUCCUCGUGGCCCACGCGGCACGAGCGCUAGUGCUCGUCGUGCUCCUCCAGCCGCAUGAGGCGAGGAGCCACAACGACGGCACCAGCGAGGCAGAGGACCAGCGGGGCUCGACCUGGAGGCUCGGAGUGGUGUGGGCUCACCGGAUCCGGGCGGAUCUGGCCGCCGGGAAGGCGUUCCCGCGGCGGACGGAGCUUGGGGGCGAUGUCGAGGACUCCGGGCGGGGAAGUGGCUCGCUGGAGAUGGCGGCAGUGCUCUAGUUGGGGCGAGGCUCCGGCGGCGGUGACUUCGAGCUGCAGCAGGACCUGGGCGGGGGAAGAGCUACAACGGCUCGUUCCGGUGACCGAGGCACGGUCGGCGUCGGGAGGCGGUCAGGGACGGCGCGGGCCAAGGGGCACUAGCUCUGUGCCACGGGCAGGAGCUCGGGCAGGGAGGCCGGCUGCUCGCCAGAUGGGCUCGGCGGGCCCGGCGGCUGGGAGGGAGAGAGAGGGAGGCUGAGGAGGUAGGUGGUGCGGAUCCCGAGGGGUUUAGGGUUAGGGCUAGAUUUGGAAGGGGGAGACUGUCUAAAAAUGCACACGGGACUAUAUAUAGACAAAAGGGGGGGGCUAGGUUAGCCGGAAUUUCGUACCGGAUCGAACCAUGCGGUCGGAUUCGGACGAUUCCGCACGUGGGAACGGGUAAGUGGCCGUGUAGUAUAGAUAUCCGGAGACGAGAGGGGAAACGGGCGACGCGACAACGAUUUUGAAAACACCGACAGACGUCCGGCGAUGUACCGAAUACGGUGCCGCUACGAUCGACCGUUCGGGUUCCAGACGGACUCCGAUCACGACGAAAUUCGACAGGCGGCCUAGCUAUAUUAAAAUAACACCUCACGUCAAAUUUCACCCCAAACGGAGAAAGUUUUCAACACACUUUUAAAAACAAGAUUCGAACGAUGCCGCGGGCGCGUGCGGUCGGGCUGAGAACGAACAACGACGAGAACCGGCAACUAACAACGGAUGCAACUUUUUGAAAACUGGCGGCAACAGAGAUGCCGAUGCAAUGCUGAUGAUGCGCAUGAUGCGAUGAUGAUGCGGCAAAAGAAAAUAGACACACGACGAAAACGGAAAGAAAGGGGAAUCUUCUGGAACGUCGGUCUCGGGCUAUCACACUGAGUCUAGCAACAAAAUAUUGAUUAAAAUGAUCACGAAGAAGAUUUUGGAUAAUCCAAGAAAGUGGCAUGAGUUGUUGUUUGAGGCUUUGUUGGCACAUAGAAUCUCAAGGCAUGGUGCUACAAAGGUGACUCCUUAUGAGCUAGUAUAUGGUCAAGAGGCUGUUUUACCAAUAGAAGUAAAUUUGAGUGCUUUGAGAAUAGCCAAACAAAAUGAUUUAUCGGCGGUGGACUUUUAUGAUUUGAUGAUGGACAAUAUUGAUGAAGUUGCGGAUAAACGUUUGGUUGCAUUAAAAGCCAUAGAGAAGGACAAGUUGAGGGUAGCGAGAGCUUCCAAUAAAAAGGUCAAGUUGAAGAAUUUUCAAGUUGGCGAUCUUGUGUGGAAAGUAAUUUUGCUGAUUGGUUCUAGAGAUAGAAAAUUUGGGAAGUGGUCUCCAAACUGGGAAGGUCCUUUUAGGACUGCAAGAAUAGUUCCCGGGAAUUGAUAUUUGGUGGAAUCCAUACAAGGAGUAUUAUUGCCUCGAGCUCUCAAUGGCAGAUAUCUGAAGAAGUACCACCCGAGUGUAUGGGAAGAAGCUUAAUUAGGCAAUGGUCGAUAUAUAAUUACCGCUUUUAGCAUAAAUAUGGCCGAUACAUAAUUAUCCCCUGAGAAAUAUAGAUGGCCGAUGGAGUGUUGACAUCGUCCUUAGAACAAAAGUAGUGCAAAUUAUUUUCGGCAUGCAAGCUUUGCCGAAUAAAGGGGGGCAUGUGUUGACACCUGAUUUUGGCAUGAUGCAAAAUUCAGUAAAGAUGGACUCAGACGAGAAGGUUUUUUAUACGAGAAAGUUCAUAUUGCCGAGUGAAACAACCUUGAUGUUUAGGCCGUCGACAUUCAGUGUCGUUUUGAGGGCCAAAUUACACUUGGAUUGUCAUGAUUGGAUGUUCUGAGUGCCUUUUUGGUCGAUUACACUUACAAGACAACCUCGGAUGAAGGAAUGCUCUACAUGGAUUGUCUUCGUCUCGUCGAAUCGGUCAAUUCUAAAUCCGAGGUCAUAUGCAGCCUGCACAGGCGAAACGAGCUCAGGCUGUAUUUUCGUUUGGGAAAUCCGAGUGAAAAGCUUAUCAUCCGAGUGAAAAUAUAGCUAUCCGAGUGAAGGCUUGAUGACCGAGUGAAAAGGUUUCCAAAUACGAGUGGAGCUUCGGUCAAGGAGUCCAGUUACAUGAAUUCCGAGUGGACUUUUUUUUAUCCGAGUGAAGGCUUGAUGACUGAGUGAAAAGCUUUCCAAAUGCGAGUGGAGCUUCGGUCAAGGAGUCCAUAUACAUGAAUUCCGAGUGGAAAAAUUGUUGUCCGAGUGAAAAUCACUCGACCGACUAAAGGGCUCCAAAUCCGAGUGAAUCAACCAGAAGGUAAAGAUUGGCCUGUAUGGUAGUCUAGAUGGCCUCGGACGGAGAAGUGUUCAACAAGAAAGAUGUUCGUAACGUCAAAAUGCUCAACUUUGAUUUUAAGAAGAUUAUGAUCUGAGGUAGUACGCGGCCUGCAGGAACACUACAACGCUCGGACGGUCCAGUCCGCUACAUGACCGAGGCUGAUUCAAAGUUAAAGAUGACCUCAUGGAGUAUUCGAGAUGGCUUUAUUUGGGAAAGUGAUCAGCAUAAGGAUUGUUGGCCUCAUUGGGGCGCAGAAAAUUGGUGUUUGGACGGUCUCCAUCAGAGAUCAUAUGCAGAUUCCACGGUCCACGCAAGGAGCAAGACAGAAGAUUGGGCCAGAUUUGGGCUGAAUCCGAAUAAGACUAGAAUUUGGACUCUAGGACGUUUUGUGCUGUAAUUUUCUUGUAAGGAAAGCCUAGAUGAGUUCUUUGCUUGUACAGGAAGUCCAGCUGCCUCUUAUAUAUAUUGGGGGUGGUGGCUGAUUGAAAAAACACACAAUCGAAACAUCAAUAUACUACUUUUCAUCUACGUUUUAUCUCUCCAUCGUAUUUUAUCUCUCGUUCUUUGUUGUUCCUCGAGUUUGAGAGCUGGGAAUCCUGAUGCUUUAGGGGUGAGCGAAUCGACCUAGAGCAGCCCAUAGCCACCGCACUCCCUGACGGGGUCCCUCCCGGGCGUGUGGGGCUUCAGGUCCUCAAAAGCACUCGCCGACUGUCUUGCGUAUCGCGCUGUCGGUUGGGUCUCCUUCGACGUGAGCUGCGGUGCAUCACCCCCGGCAUCGAGGGUACACGUGAUGUGUCCAUGUGUCAACAACCCCCUAACCUAAACCUAUUUCCCAUCACCCAACCCAUCUGUACAUAGGCCCAGUCAAAACCAACCGAACCCUAGCCCGAUCGAACCUUCUCUCUUUAUUCCCUCGAUUUCCUCUCCCUCCUCCCGACAGCGCCUCCACCCUGCCCAAACUUCCACGCGCUCAGCCACUUCCCUCGAUUCCCUCCUUCCCUGCUCGCGCCUCUAGAGAGAAGCGGAGCCCCUCGCCCCCCUUGGUAUCCGGCUCAUCCCCGCCGUCGUUCCGCAUCGCCCACACCACCUCCGGUGGCCGGAGCUCGCCCCGCCGCCUAGCUGCAGGGAGCCGCCGCAUGCAGCUCUGAGCUGAGCUCUCUGCCGCACUCGACCCCCUCCGCCAUUGCAUUGCCCGGCCCUUCCAUUCUCGACCUCCUGCACGCGCGCCGCGUCGAUCCCCAUCCAGGCACCGUGCCCCGACCUUCCUCUGUGCCGGACUGUCGCCCGCACCGCCGCUCCUCCCAGCCGUCCCGUUGGUCGAUGAACCUGCCGCGCCGCCCUGGAUCCUCACGCCGCCGCCCCCGUCCCGUGUAGGCGAGCCGUGCACUCCUGCUCGCCCGACUGGACGAGCACGACCUUCCUUGUGCGUGUUGACCACGUCGUAGGAGCUGGCAUCCUCGCCUCGCCAUGACCCUGUCUAGCACCGCAAGUCCACCACCACUUCAUGUUGCGCCGCAUCGUAGUCCUUCGUUGUUGUUGACCUUUGCUGCUGCAAGACCGAAGCCAAGACCAGCAUGUAUUGUUGGAUGCAAAGGCCGCAAAGUCCAAUGACCACCCCCGCGGGAAUUUCGCCUUGAGACGAUGGUGCGCCAAGUUCCACUACUUCCACUACCGUCAUUGUGGAACCGACACGAUCGAUGAGUACCACUACUUCCAUGACGUCCACGACGACCCAUGUAAAACUAGACCGCUACGACUCGACCCUCUCCGAGAGGCAUGCUUCAAAGGUAUACCGCCGAGACGAUCACCCGUGGACCGAAUGCAUGUGAUGUAUGAGUAUUUGCACCUUAUAUGCUUUCUAGUUGCACGUUGUCCCUCUUUUGCCGUGACCCAGCACAUGGGAACCCGGUUACCGGGAUCACCCCAUCAUUCUUGGCAUGACAUGCACACGCUUCCAAUUCGUUGGCAUCGGUAUCUCAUCGAGUUAUUGGGACCGGAACAUUGCCGUGACAUCGUUUCCGUUUUGCCGCCAUGGUUCCCUUUCGUUCGCCAUGGCGACACAUGCUUCAUAUCCUUCUUGCGAGUAUUUUCAUAAAAUUGCAUGCAUGUUGCAUUCAUGGCGUAAUAUCCUGUGUUGCAUGUAUCUUUUAACCGUAGCUCCAUUCAAUGUUCUUAGGUGUUAAUCGGCUAGUAUGUCGUGUAGAAUCACAUGCUUCACCUCUUACCAUGUUUAACAACAUUUAAAUUGUCGUGUUUCUAAACAGGAACGAAGUAAAUAAUUCAUAUGUGGAGUUUCUUCAAUAUGCAACUCGUUUCAUAUUGAGCUUCACUUAAUGUGUAGUGUUUGAUUGUUGUGAUUUUCCAUCCCAUGCCUUGCAUAAUUGAAAUGGACAUGCAUCAUAUUAGGUUGUGCAUCAUGACAAGCAUAUGUGUGGUGAAUAUCGUGUGUUGAUUCUUGUUUCCGGUUUGCUUCGUCUCGAUAGAGUUCUGCAAGAGUGUCAGAAUAUGAGGAUCCGUCCGACUACGCCGGUUCGUCUGCUUCACGGAGUCGUUCUUCUUCCAAUUAGGAUCACACGCAAGAUGAUCAUUUCCCUAGCCACCAUAACUAUCAUUGCCAUGCUAGUUGUCUCGUUUCUUUUUCUAUGUCUCGCUGUCUACCACAUGUUAAAUAUCAACCUCCCAACAUUGCCAUGAAAAUCCCCUAACAUUUCCACAACCCAGCAAACCAUUGUUUUUCUAUGCUACCGCUUGCUCAACCUUUUGAUAGCGUUGCUAGUUGCAGGUGCAGUUGCUUCCAUGUGAAACAUGGGUUCCUUGUUAUAUCACCUUGUCAUUGCUAAUUAAUUUAAUGCACCUAUAUACUUGGUAAAAGGUGGAAGGCUUGGCCCUCUAGCCUGGUGUUUUGUUCCACCUUUGCCGCCUUAGUUUCGGCUACCGGUGUUAUGUUCCAUAAAUGAGCGCUCCUAACAUGCUUGGGGUUGUUAUGGGACCCCCUAGAUUUUAGUUUUGGGUUAAAACUCGUGUGACAAGGCCCAACAUUGGUACUACAUUUUCCAAAUAACUAAUGAACCGCAUAGGGAGUAAUUAACCAAUGGAUAUUUAGUGAACCCCUGGGCCAGUGCUCCUCAUGAGUGUUGGUCCACCUACCUAGCAGUCGGCGGUGCCACCUUGGGGCAACUCGAGGCGUCUGGCUAUCGUUCACUUUGCAUAGACGGUUGAUGCCCGUAGAUAGCGAGCGCGCGGCUCUAGAUGCGGAUCUAGCUCACCGGGUGGCUUUGCGGGACUUGUUUUACUCUUAUCGAAUGUCUCGUGCGUGGGAUUCCGAGGGUACUUCGGGCUAUCUCGAGGUUGAGGUUUUCCAAUAGGAACCCGAGGAGAUCACGGGUUUUCCCUCAUCAAGGUCAUGUCGGCGCAGCGUGUGGUAGUUUGUGGACUAGUUGGAGCACCCGUGCAUGAUUAAAUCUUUUAGGAAGUCGUGCCCGUGGUUAUGUGGCAACGUGGAAAUUUUGUUUAACAUUAGAUUCUAGAUAACUUGAAGUAAGCUUAAUUAAAAUAUGCCAAAUGUGUGCGUAACGGUGACAGUCUCUCUCGUGAGUUCCUUUCUCCGAUUGAGGACAUGGUGGGGUUAUGUCUGACGUAAGUAGGUGUUCAUGAUCAUUCAUUUGAUCAUCAUUAAUUCACGCCCGUUAUGCGUAGCUCAUCCCCCUCUCUUGUUCUUGUACUCGUAAGAUAGCCACCACAAAUAAAUGUUUAAUCGCUUGUUGCAGCCUCACCACUUAACCAUACCUCACCCAUUAAGCUUUGCUAGUCUUGAUACCUUUGGAAAUGAUAUUGCUGAGUCCCUCUGGCUCACAGCUUACUACAACAAUAGUUGCAGGUACAGGUAAAGUGAUACUUUGACAUGAGCGGGAUUAUUCUUCUAUUUGGAGUUUCUUUUUCUUCUUCUCCUGCAUCGAUCUAGGAUGGGUUCUAGGCUGGCAUCCUGGGAUAGCAAGCAUGGACGUCGUUCUUUUGUCAUUUGUUUUCGUCCGUAGUCGGACCCUACUCUUCUACAUGGUGAUUGAAUAUGUUAAUGUAUUGAUGUGAACUUGUUGUAGCUUGUGGCGAGUGUAAGCCAAUUUCAUAUACUCAUCUCUUUAGUACAUGUAGUUGUAAUGAUAUCCAUUCUUGCGAAACGACGAGAUACCCUUCUAUCCCUGUUGAGGCCCUCGUGCCAAAUAAGUAUAGGAUCACAUCUUGGACGUAACAGAUCCAAAGCUUCUAAAAGGGGUGUUCUAGACGAAUUUCCACUCAAUGGGAUAAUUAGUGUCAGAAAUGCAUAACCAGGGGGUGAAAUAUGGAAUUCACUCUAAAAUACUUCCUCUGUUUCAAAAUAUAAGAUGUAUUAGUUUUUUUGGAAGUCAAACAUCUUUAAGUUUGACGAAAUUUGUAGAGAUAUAUAUCAAUAUCCAUAAUAUCAAACCACUAUCAUUAGAUUCAUCAUGAAAUUAAGUUUCAUAUUUUAUUUAUUUAGUAUUUGUGGAUGUCGAUAUUUUUGGCUCUAAACUUGGUCAAAAUUCAAAAAAUUGGCUAAAAAACACUAUAUAUUUUAGAACUGUAGGAGUAAUUGGUUUGUUGCGUGGGGGAGAUGAUGGAAUGUGUUUUAUUUUUAGUUAUAGUGUGGUGUUUUCGUGGGCCUUUCGCAAAAUGAUCUCUAAUCAAUCCAUACUAUGUGGAAAAAAAAUCAACAUUGAUGGACAGUUGGACACAUGUACUAUAUUGAUAUUAUAGUAUUGCAUGUUGGCAUCUCAUUUCUAGGUGAUGAGAAGAUGCAUGGGGUUGAUAUGUUUUUAUAAGCCGGUUAUUGUCUAUUGAUUUGAAAAAUCAUUGACCCGAUAAAAAAUCAUGAACCAAUUGUAAAACUGGAUACCUUUGAAUGGGAGAAUUUCGAAAUUAGGAAGUUUAAUGAAUUAAAAGAAUUGAAUGAGAGAGCUUCUUCAAAAGUUGUUGACCCGGUCAAAUCGGAUGAUCCAAUUCAAAUUGAAGACCUAAAUUAUUUGUGAGGCCUCCAAAAUUAAGGGACAUGGUGUAUUUAUAGAUUUGGAUUGGUAGAAUAUAAAUGCUCGUACUUCAUAGUAUCCUAGAAUCCCGUAGCAACAUAUUCACAUAAAAGGUACUCCCUACAUUUAAACUAAAAUCACAACAAAAAUUAUGGAAUAGAGGGAGUAACUACAGAAUUGUGCAUUGAAGAGUCAUCUCAACAACCUGAAAUAACAUUAAAUUUUAGUAUUAUUACCUCCUUCUAGGUGUAUAAGGCAUGCAAGUAGGCAGCGGAGGGCAAGCUCGGGCCAUGACCCGGGCCAACAUUGAUAAAAACAAUGUUGUUAUAAUGUGAUGUUUGUGGAAAAAAGAAAUCUGGCUCCGUCCCUACAGUUUGGUCUAGGUCCAUAAUUUAAUUAGCUAAAUAUGUAUUAUAUAUAAUAAAAAAUAUGUCUUUAGAAACUACAUCCUCGUAUAAAUAUAAUGACAUAAUUUACUGAAAAGGUUUUCGCUCCGCUAUAUAAAUAAAGCAACCAACAUCGAUGAUCCUGUACAAACUCACGUCACCACGACACACGCACACACCCAAGACAUCAUACAGAUGCGCUGAGGGCAGCAACACCACCCUAACUAUCGGGGGUUCUCCACUGAGAACCGAUGAAGGUGCGUAUGACGAACUGUGGGCUCCAAGGUGACGCCUUCAGGAAGGUUACGAUACCGGAGUGCCGCCACCGCCCGAUCCGAGGAAUAGAGCUUCCCCUAGAGCAACACGAGGGGCAAUGAGAGCCGCGACGACACCUUUAAGAAGGGAGCGAGUUCGUCGCUGCCGGACCGUCCGAAGAUAGAACAUGUUUUCACCCCGGCCAAUACUCACCGCCACCGGACGCCACGCCCCGGCUACCAUGUCAUCCACACGGUCAUGGUCACCGGCAGCACCGAGCCACGGGCUCAGCCCAUGAGCACCGAGCUACCAUCACCAGGACCGUCGUCCCGGCAUCCCAGACCUUGACACCUCCUCACCCGAGAUCCGACGCUACCCUAACCAAAGAGACGAGCGGAAAGGCCCCGCCUUUCGCACCCCUGGGCGGCCCCUAGCACCGAGACCCAAAAGGCCGGUCAGAAUUGGCCUCCAUUGACCCGUCCACCAGCAUUGGGCGCGAGACGAGCUCGGCCCUGCUGUCGGGUGCGAUACGAUCUCGGUCCCGCAAUAGCGAGCGUGAGACGAGCGAUGGACCGUCGCUGGGAGCGGGCCAGCCCUUCGACGAAGGUAGAUCCCGGACGACGAGGAGAGGAAUCAAAGUCAAACAUGCCGCUCACAGACUGUCCGACACCGGAGGAAUCCAGCCGGCGCCGUGACACGAUCCGACCACAACAAGGGCUACCACCACGCAGUGACAACCCACAACCACGCUGAGACCCCGAGGGGUAGCCUUGAGCCGCCUUGCAGAGGCUGCGGCACGCCGCCGAAGAACAGCCCGCCCCCUGGCCAUGGACGCCCAGCGCCCCACCACCCCAAACCGGUGCGGCAAGGCCACCAGGCGCCCCGCUACCACCUUAGCCAUGUCGUCGCCAUCACCCGCGCCCGCCAACGCCACCACCCGGAUCUGGGCUGGGAGAGCCAGAUCCGCCGCCAGCGAGACCUCCCAGUGAUGGUCGCCUCAGGACGGGGGAGCAGUACCACCGGGAAGCCUAGCUGCCGAGGGAAGGGGGCUAAGACCCAAGGAGAGGCCGACGACCCACACUGAUGACGCGAGAGGCCGCGUCCCGCGAUGCCCACCUCCAGCGUGCAGGAGGAAAUCGCCCCGCCGCCGCCUCCGCCACACGGCCUUAGGCCGGCGACGGCGGCGGUGAGGGGAGGAGGGCCGGGCGGGAGUCGAGAGGUGGCGGCGCUAGGGUUGGCUUCCAGAGUCGCUCGUGGGAGCAACUCGGCAGGGCCGUCCAAGGCCAUGUGCGAACUGUGCGACGGCACAGGGCCCCCACUUUUCAGGGGCCCCGAUUUGGUCCAUCUUUGUAAAUAGGUUUUCGUUUUGUUCACUGCAGCCCACUUUGCACGGGUGCACAACAAAUAGUCCUGUCCAAUUCGUUCGUUGUGUUUCUGAGACGCUGUUCGUCUGCCUCCUAAUCUCGCAUGUACAGUGCAGACAGCUACUCGUCGCUUGUUAAUCAUCUAGCAUAGAUCAGUGACAGGCUUGAGUUAUGAAAGCGGCACGGUCUACGGAUACAACAGCACCAACCACCAAGCAUGCAAGGGCGCAAGCCGCAAGGCACCCACAAUCCUUGAUCAGGGUCAGCCAAAUCACCAUUAAUCCAUGAGAACACCAGUCCACCAAGUAAUCAUCUCUAUCUAGGUUAAUUCUAACCCCAUCUAAUUCUCAGUUUAAGUAAUUAUAUUGAAAAAAAUAUAUUAAAAUUAUUUUUUGUCAAUCGCUGAUUGAAUAAUUAUAUUGAUUUGUUUCCUUUCAUCGUUUGUGCAUGUACAUCCGUUUAUCAAUUCGAUUGGCUAGUUGAUCAAGUUCUCACCUAUAUUUUUAAAUAUUGUGCAAAAUAAUAAAUACUAAAAUUUGUAUAAUUAUGUGAGGUUAUGCUUUUUAAUUCCAAAUUAUAUUUAUUUUUUCAAUUUUUUGGGUUUUAUUUUGCAUUUCGCACAGGGGCCCCGAAUUUCUGGAGACGGCCCUGCAACUCGGAAGGAGAGGCCUGAGCCUUUUCUCUCACCGUUAGGGGCAAUGUUUCAAUGACAUAAUUUUAGUGACAUAUAUCAUAUGUUUAGUUUGUCGAAUCGAGAACUAAGAUUACGUGCAUGGAUUAUAUACCUUCAUGGAGUAUGUAGUUUGAAAAUUAGUGGUCGAAGUUGCUUACUAACUACUACACCCUCUGUUGAUUAAUGUAUGCCGUUUUUGUUCAAUAUUAGUGAACAAAGGGAUUAGAAAGCAUCAUAUAUUCUUGAAGAGUGAAGACAGUUUGGAGAACAUUAUCAAUUCUCGGUAUGCAUUAUUCCGUUUGAAUGUAUCUGCAAUGUCAAGAGUCGGCGAUUGAAUGUAUCGCCUGCAGAACAAGUCCACUCAAUCGCUUGUUUUGAUCGUCAGCCGCAAAACGCACUAGUAGAAUAAUAUAGAAGCUAUAUAUAAAUACUGCAGCUGAACCAUCCAAGCUGUGCAAAAACCAAUUGGCAAUUGCUACCCCGACCAAACAAAAGCAGGAGUAACAAAAGCUACUAUCAAUGGGCUCCACAAAGCUCGUCGCAGCGACUCUUCUCCCCGCUCUGCUCGCCCUCCAUCUACACGGCCCAGCAAUGGCCACCGCGGCAGGAAACUCCAACUCUAACCUCUUCCGCGACUACAUCGGCGCCCUUUACAACGGCGUCAGGUUCGCGGACGUGCCGAUCAACCCGCGCGCCCGGUUCGACUUCAUCCUCGCGUUCGUCAUCGACUACACCACCGCCACGGAGCCCCCGACCCCGACCAACGGCCGGUUCAACGUCUUCUGGCAGGACACGGUGCUCACCCCCGCCGCGAUCGCCGAGGUCAAGCGGCGGAACCCGAACGUGCGCGUGGCAGUCAGCCUCGGCGGCGCCACGGUCAACGGCAGGCCCGUGUUCUUCAACGCCACCUCCGGCGUCGACUCCUGGGUCCGCAACGCCGUCGACUCGCUAACCGGCAUCAUCCAGCGGUACGGCCUGGACGGCAUCGACAUCGACUACGAGCAGUUCCAGGCGGACCCAGCCACCUUCGCCGAGUGCGCCGGCCGUCUCGUGGCGGCGCUCAAGAGCAGCGGCGUGAUCAGAUUCGCGUCCAUCGCGCCGUACGGCAACGCCGACGUGCAACGCUACUACCAGACGCUGUGGGCGGCGCACGGGACAGCCAUAGACUAUGUCAACUUCCAGUUCUACGCCUACGGCGCUAGCACCACCGCGGCGCAGUACGUCAGCCUCUUCGACGAGCAGAUCGCCAACUACCCUGGAGCCAACAUCCUGGCCAGCUUCACCACGGCGGCGACCAAUACCUCGGUGCCGGUCGACACCGCGCUUAGUGCUUGCCGGACUCUGCAGGAGCAGGGCAAGCUCUACGGCAUCUUUGUCUGGGCUGCAGACCAUUCCAGGAACCAAGGAUUCAAGUACGAGACACAGUCGCAGGCCCUGUUGACUGAUGCCACCGCUUACUAAUUAAUCCCAGUUUCUAGGUUUGAGUAAAUUGAUUUAUGAGUGAAAUCAUAUGGAAUAAAGUGAGCAUAGAUUUUAAUUGUUGGACGUAUUGUUUACCGUGCCCUAUUUUUCCUUAAUAAUAAAGCAUAUAAUGCUUUUAUUUUGUCGUGGCAAUUUUGCGAAAAAGCCCUUCUGUUUUUGAGGAUUCAACAUACAGUCCUUUUGUAAGUUAAGUCAAAUCAUUAUUUUACGUUUUGCACAAAACCUCCUAUAUUUUAUCCAAACUAACCCGCAGUCCCUCUUUUAAGUAACUAUGAACCCUUUUUUUUAGUUUUACAUAAAACCCUUUCGUACGAUCAAAUUCUAAUCAAGAUAGCGAGUAAAAAAACAUAUAAAAAAAGUUUUGCACGGAAUCCUCGCAUGGGCCGGCCCAAGCAUAUGGACCAGCUAUACUAUGCUCUACUCGGUGGAAAUUAAACAGCACGCCCAUUUGGGCCAUCCCAUGGGCGGGGACUUGUUUUUUUAGUUUUUUAAUUAUUAUUUAUCUAUUCUUUUUUAUUUUUUCUAUUUCAAAUAAAUCAAUAAAAACUUUAGAAAUUCAAAAAAUUAUAUUUACCUAAAUUUUUGAUAAAACAUAAAAUGUUUGCGAAUUCAAAAAUUAUUUGGGAUUUUUGUAAAAAUGUUCGCAUAUUAAAAAAUCGUAAUUUUGGAGAAAACAUUCAUGAAUCAAAAAAGUCUAUCAUUUUGAGCAAUUUCUUUAAUGCAAUUCAAAAAAUGUUUGAUAAUUCAAAAAAUGAAUUAUUCGCCAAUUCACAAGAAAAUACUUGAAAAUAGUUCGUAAUAUAAAAUAUUGUUUGCAAUUUUAAAAAAAUGUUUAUAAAUAGUAAAAAAAAUCAAUUUUAAAAAUGUUCCCAAAUUUCUAAAAAUGUUCACGAAUGCGAAUGUAUGCAGUUCAACAGUAAUGCUUCUGAGUCUUUCAGAUUAUAUACCUGAGUGAAUUUUGAAGAAUUAAUUGUGAGGGUGGAUCGGAAUAUUAUAGUAUAUUUAAAAAAAUGUUUCUUGAAAUUCAGAAUAAUUCUUUGAGUUACCAAGUUUUUUGACAACCAUGAUAUUUUUUUAAAAAUAUGAACAUUGUUUCAACUUGUGAAUUGUGAAUAAAAUUAAAAGAAGAAAUAUUUUCUUGCAUUUGUGGACAAAUUUUCGAAAUCAUGCGAUGUGAUAUGAACAUAAUGUGGUCAUCGCCAUUGAAGAUGGUGGGUUUUUUUCUCCCGUUGCAACGCACGGGCCCUUUUGCUAUUUAAGCCUAAAGUUAUCCAAAUUUCUUUUUGUGAAUACGCAAUCUUUGAAUGAUGGUUCAUUAAUAGAAGGAUAUCACCCCCGGACUACGUCACUUGACGCAGGAAGAACUCUGAACAUUACUCUGGGUGCUCGGCAUACUUCAUGCAGUUUCAAGGAAGAAUUGCACUUCGACAAGCUCAUCGUAAAGGUCUGGGCACCGGGGUCUAUGAAGAUAAUGACAUGACUCAAAAGGGUCGUGACUAAAGCCUAAAACCUUUAGUCCCGGUUCGCUUACCAACCGGGAGAGAAAGGUCUUUAUGUGGCCUCUGCGGGGAGCCCAGAUAGGAGGGCCCACCAACCGGAACCAAAAGGCAUCCACGCGUCAGCAUUUGGCAGGAUCUGGGGUUUUUUUUGAAGGAGGGGAUUGAAGGGUUUUGGAGGGUUAAUUUAGGGGUUUCAUAUUGUGCUAGCUAGCUAAUGGAGAGAAGUGUCCUCUUUUUAUCCGUGCUUGGUCAACGCUAGCUACUAUACAUAUAGAGAGAAGUGACAUCUCUUUCUCCCUGCUUGGUCGAACAACAAGUUUUCGUAUAUCUAUCUGGCGCUACUACAUAUAUACAAUAUAAUAUCUUUUACAAUCCCUAACAUCAUCUACCUAAGAUCCAAUCACAAAUCCACAUGAUAUUCUCCGUCUUUAGGUAUAACGUGGUCAAGAAAGAAUCCCGCCAAUUCUAAAGGUAUCCUCUUGAGUUUUAUUCAUAUAUAUGCAUGUAUUGACCCCCUUCUUUAAAUUAGAUCUGGCAAAUGCGGGAUGAACUCCUACCACAUGAUCGCAUACGAAGAAUAUAUGAGUAAAACUCAACACAAUUGAUGGUAAUAUAUAAAAUAAAAUUGUGAAUAUUAUUUACGUACUUGAAAUUGUUUCUCGGAGAAGCCCCACUCAGAGGUCGAGAGGCGCAUAAAACAAUCCCUUCUUUCUGGUACAUGCACUUUACGAGAAUAGAGUUUAAUCAAAUUGAUAAGCAAGCAUGGUAAUGAUAUAUUGAUGAAAAUUUGGAUCAAUUAUAGAUGCACGGAACUAGCUAGUAGUACUUACGUUUGGAUGCGUAAAUCACAACUCUUUGUUUAGGCCGGGAGCCUUUUUGGUGAACUUCUUCCAAACCCUGCCACGCAAAGGAAAUGAUUACUUGAUAUUAGGAAAUUAACGAAAGUUGCAUGUCGAUAUGGUCCCGAUAUUGACUAAACUUACUUCUUGAGCAUUGUAGUCAUGUCUGCAUAAUUCUCGGGAUUUUUAUGUCUCGAGUCUAAGACAAUUACCAAUGCCCCGUCAAGCUUAAUAGAUAGUAGAAUAAAGUGGAAAUUGCGCACGCAUAUAUAACUCAUCAGUUACAUUACUUAACCUCGAGUAAGCGGAACCGAGUAUACAGAGAAGACAACAACACUCACUUGAAGUUGUAAGGAAGGAGUAUUUCCUUUUUGUUUCGAUGUAGAAGUAACGACUUUAGCAAGUUGUCCUCGGUCUCUUUGGUUGAGUGUCGUAGCGUCCAUUCAUUUAUGGCAUCUGGGCUAAUGAACCCAACAUCGAAGAUUCCUUCUUUUUGGAAUUCGGCGGUCUUUAAUCUGCAUAAUAUGGUGAUGAUAAUUAUAUAUACGUGCAAUGAACGAGCUGAGCUAGAGACCUAACUAUAGAAGUAAUACUUACAAACAGUAGGAAGUCAUGAGUUGUUUGUCGAGAGUCAGUUGAUUGUAUAAUUGAAAUAACUCCACAAAUACAAUAGGUAUCACGGGAAGUCCAAUGAAUUCGUGCUCUGGUUUCACUGCCACAUACAUAGUGUCUCUCCCAGACUCCUUGCAGGUUUUCAUGUACCACUCAUGCAAUUUGUGCAUCAUCGUUGUUAGAGGAGGAUGAUCAGGGGGGACGAGAGGCUUCCCGUGCACGUAUUUAUAUUGUUCUGUUACCUCAGUCGUUUGAAAAAUUACAUCAUCCCCCAAGUAAUCACCAGGAUUGGUACCGGGCACCAUCCCCAGAGGAUUAGCAACGAUAUCGCUAGACACCAAGAGCGGGGGGGGGGGCACGAUUGCUUCUCAUGUUCGCCAGUUGGGGAAUUGUUUCCCACUUCUUUGUUCUGCUAACCUUGCAUCACUCGAAGUACUUUCCGACCGCCGCGCUGCUUCAUAUGUAUUUUUAAUAACGUGGUCAUAAUAGGAAUCCAGCGGAGGCGAUGGUGGUCGCUUCAGGGCGUUGAUAGUGCACUCCACUUUCAUUGGAUCUAGCUUCUCCUUAGAAGGUGGAGUUUUCUUUGCAAAAUGGUCCCUCAAUUGGGCAUGACAUAUGUCCUCGUUUUCCUAUGCGGUCCUCUCAUAUGGUAUCUUUUCCACAGGCUUGAGAGAUGGACCGUAUUUCCCGCCUCUGCUUGUACUACUAGCCGCCGGAGCGGUGGCGUCUCUCUUCCAUCAUUGCUGACGAGGCAGAGGAGGAGGCAGACUGCUCGGACGCGCCGGAGGAGCCGGAGCGGCAGUUGCCGACGAGGCGAAGGAGGAGGCGGACUGCUUUGACGCGCCGGAGUAGGCGAAGGAGGAGGCGGAGUGCCCUCACGCUCGGAGGAGCCGGAGAAGGAGGUGGAGUGCCCUGAUCACUCGCCGGAGGAGGAGGAGGAGGCGGAGUGCCCUGACUCGCCGGAGGAGGAGGAGGAGGCGGAGGCAUCCAGUUUGGAAGCUUGAUGUACUCCUUCUGCCAUAGACAUGUACUCCUCACACCACGAACCAGCUGAUUCUCCCCUUCACCUAUAGGGUGGUCAAGCUCGAGCUCCUCAAAUCCCUCCAUUACUUCAUCCACCACCACAACAACAUAACCAUGUGGAAUCGAAAGGCAGUGAAAAGUUCCGUUGGGUUGAGGAGGUGCAACAGAGCCGAGAGCCACCUUGAAGUUGAGGUUCCGACAUUUCGUCAUAAGCUCGCAAUGUUGAGCCUCCGUGAUAGUAUCCACGAGGUAGCUAGGAGUCGUGAAGUCAGGCUGAAUGGGCUUCGUGGAAGCCACGCUGCUUCUCUGCUGAGAUGGCGGGGUACCUUCUUCAGUAGCUUCGUGCAACUGAGAUGGUUGGCCGACAGCUCGCUGGCUCUCAAGUUCUUCUAGCUUUUGUAGUCUUGCAUUGAUCUUCUGCAUGUCUCUCAGCUCCACUUUCCUCUUUCUCUCCCGGCUUCUGUAACCGCCCGCGUCGGGAAACCCAACCUUCCACGGAACGGAGCCUGGUGUUCUCAUGUUCGUCCAGGGUGCUCAGCAUUCCCUAGGGCCUUAGUCAACUCGUCCUUCUCUCUAUCGGUAAUGAACACCCCUUCUUGCGCUGCCGUGAUAUACUUCUGAAGCUUGUUGAUGGGUAUUGCAAGUUGCUCGUCCGUCCAAUGACACUUCCCUGUUUCAGGUUUCAAAGUUCCCCCAACCCCUAAGAACCAAGUCCUUGAACGGUCUGGCCAGUUCAAUGUGUGUGGUUCGACCCCUUUAGCAAUCAGGUCAUUCUCAGCUUUGUCCCAGAACGGCCGGGCUUUGAGGACACCACCUGACCCUGUGUGAUGGUGAUACUGCUUCUUUGCAGCAUUGUUCUUGUUUGUCUCUGACAUUUUCUUACUCUUGUAUGAUGUCUUGUAGGCCACAAAUGCGGGCCAGUGAUCUCUUAUCUUCUCAAAUCGGCCGAUGAAUUCUCGAGUCUUCCCUUUGUCGACAAAAUUUUAUUUCAACUCCUUCUUCCACCUCCUGAAUAGAUUUGCCAUCUUCUUAAGAGCACACGCCUUGACUAGUGGCUCUAUAACUGGCUUAUUCGGACCCUCCUCUGGCGGUAGGGUGAAAUUUGCCUUCAGCACGGUCCAAAGAUCAUCUUUGUGUCUAUCGGUGACAUAAUCACCUUCAGGGACGUCGUCGUUUUUAGGCUUAUUCCAUUGCUUGAUGCUGAUCGGGAUGUUGUCCCUAACAAUAGUUCCGCACUGAGUGUAAAAUGCGUCCUUGGUUCGCUUGGGAAGAAUCGGUAGGUCAUUGUCCGAGAUUGCUAUGAUCGUGAACCUUUCAUCCUUGCGCAACCUUCUCUUCGGGCCUCGUCUUGUUACCUAAGUUUGGCUCAAUCUGGAGGGCUAUAAAAGAAGAAAGAAGAGUUAAUAUAUGUACAUACCAAAACAAUUAAUGCAUCAAUUAGCUAGUCAGCACAUGCUUAAGUAAUAUAUAUACCUCGCCGUACUUUGUAACAGCUCCCUCCUCUGUCCGGUCACCGGAGCCGUCAUCAUGGUCUCCUUCUUCCUCUGGCAUUCGGUCACCGGAGCCAUCUUGAUCAUGUCCUUCCUCCUCAAUUGUUUGAUCACCCGAGCCGUCAUCCUGUCCUUCCAGACCAUCAGUGUCGUUGAGAUACGACAAGACAUCACCUCCGGUGAGGAUUAUCUCCCCCUACAAUUGUUCUUGUUCCAAGUCUCUUUGAUCCAUAAUUUGUGCAAAUAUGUCAGCUCCUUGUAUGAAUAACCGAAUUACACAAACGUCUGUGUUUUAAACAUGCACAAAAACUGUUUAAUAGUUCAUAGAUGUACAUUAUGAUAUAUAAUGCAAUAGAUCUCAAGAGGCAAAAAGGUUCUCUUUCAGUUACAACCAAUAAUCAACUUAAUACAUCUUGAAUUUUGUCGAAUAUAAUCUCGAAUAUACAUCUCAAACUGAUCACCCAAAGAGCUGCCGUUGUACUGAGGCGCGGGCGACGGAAACCCACAGAGAAGGAACCAUAACAGGAUCAUAGCUCGGGUGAGAUUCCUGAAGAACCUGCCAGGUAUUGGAGAACCUGGCGUCCAACGCAACCAAGUAGCGAUAGACGUGCUCGUCCUCCUCCCUCACACGGCGAAGUACCUUCUCCUUGGGGCCGGCAGCCUCCGCAUCGAAAGUGGCCCACGCGACCGCCACCAAAGAAGCUCCGAGUCGACGAUGGGAGCUUGAUUCCUCACCAAGAUGCGCGCCCCAGAAGGUAGGACCUUCUAGUGCCAGCCCGGCGGAGCCCAGUCCCACACAUGCUGGCGCCUCUGAAGCAGGUGGUCGGCAUCGAGUCGACGACGAGGAUGCGUGAAGGGCAUCGUCGACGUCGAGAAUAAUUUCUACAACUAUUUAAAGUCCUACCAUUUGAAGAUAGCUUUUUAAAAUGCAAUGGCUGAAGAUGUAAUGCAAAUAGGCCGAAAGUACAUACAUUGAACUAUGUAUAUCUAUACUUACCAACCUAUGUACUACUUCCUCCGUUCCUAAGUAUACUUCUAUACUUAGAGGUGAAAAAUCCCAAAAUUCCUAAAAUUCCCGAAAUUCUAUUUUUUUUCUAAAAUUCCUAAAAUUCUCAAAAGUUCCUAAAAUUUCUAAAACAAAAAACAAAGCUAUGAACUACCUUGAAAUUCCUAAAAUUCCUAACAUUCUAAAAAAUGAAGUUAUCUUGAAAGGACACAUCACAAGUGCUCUUCAAGAUUUACCCUUGACCCACUAAUUUUUACUUUCAGUAUAUACAAAUAUCAGAAGGCAAUCAUUAUCAUACAAAUAUACAUGUCGAGAAAAUCUAAACAUACUAUUUACAAGUCGUGAAUCUAAAUGUUGGAAACAAUAUUCAAAGUCAACGCUUGACUUCAAAUGUGUCCAAAAUAACAUGUAUAUCUCGUAUUGAAAGAGUCGUGACUAACUACAAUAACAUUCAUUUCCUAUGCAGAGUAAAAUCUCAAACAAAUUUAUCAGCAGGUGCAUGAAGAUGAACAAGACCAUCAAUUCGUCACCGUGCAUUGUAGGUAAGGCGCUGCCCGUGUUGGAUUAUUUGCUAGAAAAAUGGGCUGCCGUCAACAGUCUUGGCCCUAACAUUGCCGCCAUAAGGAAAAGCUUCUGCCCGCCCACAAAAUAUAAACACAUGAUUACAUUCCUAAAAUUCUCAAAAAAUUCUAAAAUUCCUAAAACUCUAAAAAAUUCCUAAAAUUUCUAAAACAAAAAAACAAAGCUAUGAACUAAUCAACAUUCUCAAAAAUUUCUAUGAAGUAAUCAACAUUUUAAAGGGGACAUAAGCUGUGUGUACGUACUCACCGGGGGUGUCGACGGCGCGACGGGGCAAAGGCGAGGCGAGGCGACGGCGAGGGUGAGGCGACGGGGCGACGACGAGGCGACGGGGCGACGACGACGGCGAGGCGACAGGGCGAUGGGCGAGGGCGAGGGCGAGGUGAGGCGACGGGGCGACUGCCAGGCGAGGCGACGACACGGGCGUCGACAGCGAGCUCGGGCAGCCUGGUGGCGUCGAUGUGCUCGGUAUCGUCGGGGGGAAACUGAAACUAAAAUCUGAAAAGACAAGCUUAUAUAGAUACCCCCCCUUUAGUCCCGGUUGGAGCCACCAACCGGGACUAAUGGUAAAUUUUGCCACGCGAAAGGGCGGGAAGCCAAGACCUUUAGUCCCGGUUGGUGAGGCCAACCGGGACUAAAGGAUGGUAUUGGUCCCGGUUGGUUCCUCCAACCGGGACUAAAGGGGGGUAUUGGUCCCAGUUGGUGCAUCCAACCGGGACUAAAGGGUGGUGCUCCCGCGGCCAAAUUUUUAGUCCCACCUCGCUAGUCGAGGGGGGAUCAGAGUUGUUUAUAAGCUUCGCCGCCACUACCACUUCAAGAUCCUCUCUAUUGCAGGCAGUACUUGCCUAUGUGACGCCCUGUUGGGCCUGUUGGGCCCACGGGCCUUCACCCUGGCCAAUUUACAAAUGAGUUUCUAGCCGUAUAGAGGCUGUUGGUGGGCAAUUUUUUUGAUUUUAUGAAAACUCUUUUUAGUUGAUAUUUUUUUGAUUCUUUUUAGUUCAUACUUUUUUUAAUGUUUAAUCUGAUUCUUUUUAGUUCAUUUUUUAACAAAUAAAUACUUUGAUAUUUUGAAUUCUUUGAAAUUUGUGUGAAUCACUAGUUUGUGAAUAACUUUACUUUAAAAAUAGAUUUUUUUAGUGCUUCUUUUUCCUGCUAUUUAAUAUUAGUGUGUUUUAUCAUCAUAUUCAAUUUGGUAAAUUUUAGGUUAUUUUAAAUGGGUGUUUUAAUCAAAAACAGAUUUUGUUAUUUUAGUUUGCUAUUGAAGUUUCUAACAAAAACAUACUUUGUGAAAAUUGUUUUUGCUAUUAAUGUUUUGAACAAAAAAUACUUUGAUAAUUUUAGUUGCAUAAAUUUUGUAUAAUUUUAGUGUAAAAAAUACUAGAGGUUUAUAAAAGCUUUUUAGUUGAUUCUUUUUGCUAUUACAGGUUUAUAAAAGCUUUUUAGUUGAUUCGUUUUGCUAUUAAAGAAUAUUAUAGUUUUGUUUUAGUUGAUCAUAACAUAAUAUUUUAAUUGAUUAUUUUUAGUUCAUUUUUUUUGCUAUUAGAGUUUCAUAAAAGUGUUCUAGUUCAUUCUUUCUGCUAUUAGUUCAUUCUUUGAGCUAAAUGACCCUGAAAUUGAAAAGCACUACAAAUGAACUCUCGAAAGGUUGAAAGUUGGCAUGGCAUCAUCAUUUCAUCCACAUAGCACGUGCUAAAAAGUUGAGAGGGUUACGGCAAAAACUGGAUGCACUUCGUAUAAAAAUAGGACAAUCUCUUUCGAAGUAUUAAUGUUUCAUACGAAAACUCAUCUCUUACAAAUGGAUUUCAUUUCUUGAACUUAUUUGAACUCCAAACUUUUUGUGUGUUCAAAAUGCACCAUCCAAAGCCACAUCAUCAAUUUUCAACCCUUUGUGACUUCAUUUGGUAUUUUUCAUGCAUUUACUGAUUAUUUGAGCUAAUGACCCUGAAAUUGAAAAGCACUACAACUGAACUCUAAAAAGGUUGAAAGUUGGCAUGGUAUCAUAAUUUCACCCACAUAGCAUGUGCUAAAAAGUUGAGAGGGUUACGACAAAAACAGGAUGCACUUCGUGUACAAAUCGGACAAUCUCUUUCGAAGUAUCAGGGUUUCAUGCGAAAACUCAUCUGUUACAAACGGUUUCAUUUCUAGAACUUAUUUGAACUCCAGCCUUUUUGUGUGUUCAAAAUGCACCAUUCGAAGCCACAUCAUCAAUUUUCAACCCUUUCUAACUUCAUUUGGUAUUUUUCAUGCAUUUACUGAUUCUUUGAGCUAAAUGACACUGAAAUUGAAAAGCAGUACAAAUGAACUCUAAAAAGGUUGAAAGUUGCCAUGGUAUCAUCAUUUCACCCACAUAGCAUGUGCUAAAAAUUUGAGAGGGUUACGACAAAAACAUGAUGCACUUCGUGUACAAAUCGGACAAUCUCUUUCGAAGUAUGAGGGUUUCAUACGAAAACUCAUGUGUUACAAAAGGAUUUCAUUUCUUUAACUUAUUUGAACUCCAGACUUUUUGUGUCUUCAAAGAUAGUGCUUUCAAAAGCUUCAUCACGAACCAUGGAGAACUUGAGGGUGUGACCGAUGGGCUCAGCAACAAUCCCUCAAGAUUUUGACAGGGACGGAUUUCCAAAAUUAUAAUAUCAAGGAGAUAGAAUUUGUCAAAUAAAAUGGUAUAAUGUCGUAUGCUCGAGGGAACAACAACAAUUAAACAUUGGUAAAAGGGUGCACUCGGAAAUACUGAGUGAGUAGCACGACCAAUGCUAAAAUGAUGAGUCAACACCCAACACACUAAGGAGGAAACAAUCAGUUAUUAACCUCAAGGUGAUAGGGUUGACGAAAUUAUUGGAAUCACACAUCAGAUUUCACUUGUCGGUACACCAGUUAGAAACAACACGGGACCAAGAAAUGAAUGGUGGUGCCGAGAAGUAUCACUAUAUCAAGAAUUCUUAAGAGGUGCAAUCAUGCUUACAACAUUCUUGACAGAAAAGAUAGUAAUACUUCAAGGUAGGAGACAACAUAAGCUGAAUUAGCAAGGAACUCAAGGGNGUAAAACAAGAGCAAUUGGAAAAGAAAGUAUGGACGACAUUUGUAUGUCAUCAUCCAUAGGGGUUGACGGAGGAAGGGAAAUUGCAAAAGCGAUGAUCACAAUUUUUCGAGUGAACAUCAGAGAUUAUCGUCAGAGUCUUCUAACGGAUCAAGUCAUCGUCUGGAAUUGCGGGGCUCUCCGGGUAGAUGUGAUUACGAGGACCUAAGGUUAGAGUUAGUAAAAUCUUUAACCCGAAAGAGAAGAGAGAGUAGAGCCCAGAGUAUAGGAAAGGAGUAAAAGAUACUAAUACCACCCAACUGAGAUGUGGGCCCGUAAGCCACAACAUUAGUGUUUCAAACACUAGACUCAACUUCGGCCAAGGAGUUGGAAAAGGGGCUACCUACAGGCAGUCGGCUCUGAUACCAACUUGUGACGCCCUCGGUUUAAUCGUACGCUAAACAUACACGCAAAUGCGUACGAUCAAACCCAAGGGCUCACAGGAAGAUAUCACAACACAACUCUAGACACAAAUAAAAAUAACAUCAGCUUCAUAUUACAAGCCAGGGGCCUCGAGGGCUAGAAUACGAAAUCUAGAUAAACACACGAGUCAACGGAAGCAACAAUAUCUGAGUACAAACAUAAAACAUGGGGUGCCCUAGAGAAGGCUAGCACAAAAGAUACAACGAUCGAACGAGGCGAGGCCUCCUGCCUGGGAACCUCCUAACUACUCCUGAUCAUCAGCGGCCUCCACGAAGAUGACACCAUCGGGAUGACAGACAUCGGCAGGAAACUCCACUCCUGGGCUCCAUCAUCUGGUCACAGCAAAUGGAUCAAGGGGACAAGGGGGAGCAAAGCAGCGGUGAGUACUCAUCCAAAGUACUCGCAAGACUUACAUCCGAACUAUUCUAAGUAUGCAUCAAUAUCAAAGAAGGAGGGGUUAUAUGUGGACUGACUGCAGCAAUGCGAGAAUAGGGAGAGAAGGCCUAGUCCUAUCGAAGACUAGCAUCUUCAGGGUCUUGCAGCAAUAGACAAGAGUAGAACAGGGGUAACACAUUAAUAGUCAUAUUGUUGCAGCAAGAUUAAAGUGAGGUCACGCCUAAAGAUUCUCCCUCGACUCCGUGCGAGGAAGUAAUCCCGAGGCAAACUAAUUCCAGUUAAGUAACAAUUGUAGUUGUAUAAGAUCGGGGCACAACUCCAAGUCGUCCUGUAACUGUGGACACGGCUAUCCGAAUAGUUAAUUUUCAUCCCUGCAGGGGUGCACCACAUGUCCCGUCACGCUCGAUAACACUCUGGCCGGACAUACUUUUCUGGGUCCUGCCCGGCCUCGGAAUAUCGACACGUCGCAGCCCCACCUAAGACUAAUCAGAGAGGCCAGCCCGCCGGUCUAACUCCUAAGCACAAAGUGUUCGUGGGUCCAGUUCCCCUUCGUGCUCCUGCACGUGGCGUGGGCGGCCGACGUCAGUCCUAGCAUCCCUUAACCACAAGAGUGAUGCAUCUCGGGACCACUCGGGUGCACGCCGCUGCAUUGCUGACAUCUGAAAAGCUUCGGCUGAUACUGCGACUCCGAGUACCCAUAAUUCUUCCCGCGUAGCCCGUUAGUGCAAAAAGGUCUCCGACCAACCCAGAUCAAAUACCCAAAUCCAUCAACAUUUUAAUUAGGCCAUCAACACAGUCUCACGGGAAUCCACCCGUCUUACAACUAAUCACCAAAGAUCCUAGUAACAUGGUCGAGUAACUGUGUGGGUAUAACAUCGGGGGGAAUCCGAGGUAUCACCCGCGUUGGAUUCCGAACGAUGUAUCCGUCAAGGUGGGCUUAGAGGAAUCACCCUCGGGGGUCCCACACUUGAGGGGUUGCACGACAGGGGCAUCGUCGGGAAUGGUGAAAGAGGAAUCACCCUCGAUAACCAUGGCCGACUAGCUAUACUACAAAGAUAUCAUCAGGAGUACUUAGCGAGGUGUCACCCUCGAUACCUGAUACUAUCUCUGUAGCUCGUACAACUAAGGGGGUGUAUGUGAUGUGUCAGGUCUGGCUCGUCAAUCAGGGAUCGAGAUUUGAAAACAAGCGGGGCAACUGAACUACGGGGUCAGAGGGGAUGACUGCCCACCUAUACUAAGCAGAUUAAAAGUACAUGACUGAAAGUAGCAGUUCAUCAAAAAUAGGCUAUGCAUCAGAUAUAGGAGCUAACUACAACAGUAGCAAAAUACUAAUGCAAGCACUAGGAAGAAAGACAUAGGCGAUAUAGGAAUGAUCAAGGGGGGUUUGCUUGCCUUGUUGCUCUGCAGACAAAACGGAUCCUCGACCGGGAAGUAGUCGAUCACCGGAUCAUCAUCGGUCUCGGGGCCUACCGGAAAGGAAGAUAACGAAGGGGAAACACAAUAAAUAAGAGAGCAAGCAAACACACCACAAAGCAUGACAAGGUAAUACACCGUGCCAGGGCUGACCUAACGUAGUACUAAACGUUACAGACGAAGCGGGAAAAUAUCUCACGAUAUUUUUCGGGUCUUUGGCUAUUACCGAGCAGAUGACCCUAAUGCAAAAAUGUCCAAGUCCAUCAUGCUAGAGGUAUGCUACAGAUGAACGGACAGCGUAUUCAGAUUUGUGGGAUUUUUCUAAACAACUUUCAUGAAUAAAAUAUUAUCAUCCGAGUUAUAAAUUAUUUUAUAUGAAUUAUUCUAAGUUAUACUGUUUUUAUGAAUUUUUGAUUUUUGUUUUAAUAUAGGUUGACCAAAUCAAUUUGACUAGUCAAAAGGAGAGGGGUGUGGCCUACAUGUCAUAGGCAGCAAUUAAACUAUGCUAGUUAAUUAAAUUAAUUAGUGUGAGUUUACUUGACAUAGGCUAGUACUUAGACUAACUAGUACAGUACUAAUUAACCCACUAAACUACUAGGAUGGCCACACUCUCUCAUGCACACAUACAUCACACACACUCACGCACACACAAAAGACACACUCACGCUCAUACACACAGCCAUGGCCUUGUCCAUGGCCAACAGCAAUGACUAGCUAGGCAGUAGCAACGCAACAAUACGCAUCGGCCGUAGCGGCUAGUUAGGCAGCAACAACCGGUAUGGAGAAGCAAGCGGCAGCGAUAUGAGCAAGCAACAACACCAGGAGUGAGAAGCAGGGCAGCUACGACAGCAAACAUGAGUAGCUAGCACUUGAAGUGGAAGCAACACAGCCAGCAGCGGCGACGACGGCAGUAUGCAGCAGCAUCAGUAGCAGCGGCCAGGGCCAGCGGCAGCAGCAAGGAGCGGCAAGAGCGUCUAGCAUCAGCAGCUUGGAGGAGCAGUAGUAGCGCAGCCGCAACACUAGGGGAAGCAGCAGCAAGCAAGCGACAACAAGACAGUAACACACAGCUUGCAUGUACGCGUACAUUCAAAGACGACGGCAAACGGUGACGAAUCGAGCCAGGAAACAAGGGGAAUCGGACGAGGAACUCACCACGGAGCUCGUGGACGUGGUUAGGGAGCGCAGGGCGGCCGGAAUGAGACGGGCUCGACGACGAGAUGUGGCGGCCGUGGCGAAGAUGGCGGCGAUGGCGAGCGUACUAGCUGUCCCAACCUGAUUCGUUGCUCUGGAUGGAAGAAGUCGAGGGUGGCGGUCCUCCUAGACGUAUCCACGGGCGUCGGGGAGCAUGGUGGCCACGAGAUCGAGCCCGGCCAUGGCCACGAUGACGCGAGCCUGUGCAGGAGAGAGUGAAGUAGCACGAGGGGAGGGAAAAGGCUGCUAGGGUUUGGUCGAGGGAGACAGAGACGCUCGGGGGUGGCCUUAUCCGUGAGGGGAGCCGCUGGAUUCACGCCAGCGAGCGCAUCCCCGAGCGGACGGCUCUAGCGCCAUGGCCUCCCCUGUCUCUGUCGAGAGGUGGGAGAAAGGCCGGUGGGGAUGGGCCGGCCCAGCCUGUAGCACCAGACCUAAGUGCACAGGGGCAUCCCCACCGUUUUUUUCUUUUCUUUUUUGUUUCAUUUACUUUGCUUCUGAUUUAUUUCUUUUUGCAAUAUUUCCCCUUCGCAAAAAUGUGUGACUUGGUCCAAUUAAUAUAUUGUAACAUUUUCCAAUGGCCACACCAGGUUUGGUUAUGUUUGGACUAUGUUCAAAUUAUCCAUGGAAUUAAAAAGGGAUUUUAGAUGCCUUUUAGCUCUGUUUUAGAUGGUGGGGUCCACACAAUUGGUUUGGUGAUGUUGUUUUACUUAACAACAUUUGUUUUGUGAAUUUUAGUAAAUGUGCAACUUUUUUUUAUGCUGUUUGAGGUUUUAUUUUAUCACAAUAAAAUCCAAUGCCUCUUUUAGUGGAAUUUGAAAUUAGAUAUGAAUUUUUAUCUUGAUCAUAUCCUGUCUAGCAAAAUGAUUAGGCAUUGAUCAUGGUCAUCAGUGUAGCUUAAUUACAAUGCUCACUGUAGCAAAAGUUGAGGAUGUCACAACUCUCCCCUACUAACAAGAAUUUUCGUCCCGAGAAUUAAGGGGUAGAAGGAAAGAGUUCGGGGUAUUCAUCACGUAGAUGAUCCUCGCGUUCCCAAGUGGCUUCAUCUUCAGAAUGUUUUGACCACUGUACUUUAAGGAACUUGGUGACUUUGCGACGAGUGUUACGUUCAGUUUGGUCGAGAAUGCAGACAUGAUGCUCUUUAUAAGAGAGGUCUUGUUGCAGCUCAAGCAUAUCAUGAUCCACUGCUCGAAUAGGAUCCUUGAAGAAGUGGCGGAGCUGAGACACAUGGAAGACAUUGUGAACCUGAGAAAGGUUCGCCGGCAGUUCCAAUUGAUAAGCCACUUUUCCACGCCUUCCGAGAACAGUGAAAGGACCAAUAUAGCAAGGAGCUAACUUGCCCUUGAUUACAAAACGGUGUGCACCUCUCAUUGGUGUGACAUGAAGAUAAGCCUUUUCGCCAGGUUGAUAGACGAUAUCUUGAUGAUGACGGUCGUACUGACUCUUCUGACGAGGCUGAGCAGCCUUCAGAUUCUCAAGAAUAAUGCGGACUUGAUCUUCGGCAUGUUGGAUAAUAUCCAGACCGAAGAGUGAUCAUUCCAUUGGAUGAUGGCUCGGGAAUUCCAUACGAAGCCAAGUGCAAAGGAUAAUUCGGAGCCAAAAGAUGUACAGGAGAGUCAGGUUUCAAUCCUGUGGAACGUUGGGUUAUGGGUCCACCAUGUGGGCCGGGACUAAGUAGAGGGGUGACAUAUUAUACGGUCUUGGUAGCAAGACAUGUCAGAGGAUAGCCUGUCAGUUAUGUUGGCAACAACGUCGGUACCAAGUGCAGGGGAUGAAUAGAACCAUUUUCCUGCUCGCUGAAACGAGGCGGACCAAUAGGCAAGGAUCUCGUCCACCGGUGGCUACCGGAAUGUUAUCCACAAUAGUAACAGGGUCUUACCGACAGAGUUGUACCCAAAGGUUUUUACCUAAGCAGGGAAUUAACACUACUUAGAUAAGUAAUGCCACAAGAAAGGUCAAACAGACCAAUGGGAAUGAGAAUGUGUUCACGCACACAAGAAUUUAAAGUAUACCAUUCCCGAGGAAACAUAGAGUAUGGUAUACAUGAUAGGUCAUCAAGUACACAACCAUUUAAACAAAGAUGUAAGAAGAAUCAUGAUGUUUACCCAUGCCAUACGGUUUGGAUAAUUGAUCAGGAACAAUUUAGCAUUGCGCUUCCAAUGUUCCUGUUGAACUUUGAAGUACCACAUUCGUGCUUCGGGAUAGCAUUGACAUGGCCAUCCGAUAUAGGCCGGACCUUGGGCAUACAAAAGGAUCCACGAGGAACAACCUAUGAAAUAAGUCAUAUAGUUUCCGCAUGAAAGGAUGGCGAAUCUUACAUAUGGGAGAAUUUAUAACAAUAGGUCCUUCGGCCCGGUGUGCCAGACAAGACACCACCGUACCGGUUGCAUAAAGACCAAGGUUAUAAUUAUUGGGGAAAAGUUCCAACCAUCAUAUCUUCCCGAGAUUCAGAUCUGGUUGGUGUCGGGACACCUCAGACUCAAGAUACCUAAGAAGAAAAGAUGAUGAUGCAGGAUCCUCAGGAUAUGAACUACACGAGCAAUUUUUGAACCAUGAGUUCGAUUUAAUACAUAUGAACACAAUGUCAAGACAUUCGGGCCCACAUGAAAUUCUUAUGACGAAAAGCAAGUGAGUUGUGAUUUGAGAACCAUCAUCGAGGAUAUCAAGGCCCUUGCGUAAGCCUCGAUUAGCUCUUAUGAAGAAACCUCUUUUCCUUGAUCAAAUCAGUUAGUGGCUUGGCGUGCUAAGAGAAAUUAUAUGAAGUGAAGAUAGCAAAUCUUCAAAACAUAUAACACUUCGCACAUGCGUGAAUGAUUUGGGACGAUCCCAGAGGAAGCAAAACAAAACUUUCAUAUAUUCACAGCAACAGGAUUGCACGUGAACCUUGGGAAAACACUUCUUAUAUCAAACAUAUCCUCCAUGAGCUAGGCACAAAGAUAGUGCUUUCAAAAGCUUCAUCACGAACCAUGGAGAAUUUGAGGGUGUGACCGAUGGGCUCAGCAACAAUCCCUCAAGAUUUUGAUAGGGACGAAUUUCCAAAAUUAUAAUAUCAAGGAGAUAGCAUUUGUCAAAUCAAAUGGUAUAAUGUUGUAUGCUCGAGGGAACAACAACAGUUAAACAUUGGUAAAAGGGUGCACUCGGAAAUACUGAGUGAGUAGCACGACCAAUGCUAAAAUGAUGAGUCAACACCCAACACACUAAGGAGGAAACAAUCAGUUAUUAACCUCAAGGUGAUAGGGUUGACAAAAUUAUUGGAAUCACACAUCAGAGUUCACUUGUCGGUACACCAGUUAGAAAAAACACAGGACCAAGAAAUGAAUGGUGGUGCCGAGAAGUAUCACUAUAUCAAGAAUUCUUAAGAGGUGCAAUCAUGCUCACAACAUUCUUGACAGAAAAGAUAGUAAUACUUCAAGGUAGGAGACAACAUAAGCUGAACUAGCAAGGAACUCAAGGGACAACACAAAACAUGAUCAAGUUUGCGUGGGAGUGAAGGCAACAAGGUUUGUCGAUGAUAACACAAAUCAUCGAGGGGCAAGGAUGGUAUUUCUCAUCAUGCAUCCGAUCGGUGCCCUGGAAGAGCUCAGAAUACUGAUGAUGAUCACGACACAAUUGUCGAGAACUUCACAAAGAUGUAAUCAAUCAGCGACGACAUCAAGCAAGGGAAUGAUGAAGCUACAGGCUGCCGAAAACACAAUAAGACUGCUAGCUCAGAAUUGAGAUUGCCUUUCAGGACAAUCAACAUGAUUUGGAAAGUUCGAUGCACGCUUAACGCAUAGUUGGAAUUGUGUUCCAGGGAUGGAGGGUAUAGAUAGCAUGGUCGAGCUCCAACAUGACCAUGAUGAUGUAGCUUAAUAGCUUGAAAUGACAGGGUUGAGUACAAACUCGUAAACAAGGAAGAUUACUAAAAUUUGUUGAAUCGCAAUGCGUACUCGAUUCAGUUGUCGAUGUACUCGCGUGUCCAACAACUCAAACAC